rnacentral:lncRNA from 1 species
AAUGUCUUAAAGUUUGGGUUUUCUAGUUUAAGAAGUUGUUGAAGGUCAAAAGGCAGUGGAUAGUAGUAUUGAAGGUCAAAAGGCAGUGGAUAGUAGUGGAGGAAGUCGUCGUAUGGAUGGAGAAUUUGGUUAUGCCGUUGAUAGCAAGAAUCUUGAUUAGAUAGAUCAAGAGAGACUAACCUUGUCAAGUAUGAAAUCCCCGCUGGAAUUUGGCCAAGGAAACAUGAGUUUGAAAGGUUGAGAUGAGUUAAAUUUAGGAGUCUGUCAAACUCAUAUUGAAACAGAGUGGCAUGAAAAUUGUUUCCAGCAAGAUUAAGGCGUUGAAGAUGAUGGAGAUUGAAAAUGGAGUGAAAGCUGCCUGAAAGGUUUUUGUAGCUAAGAUCAAGUCCAAUCACAUGACCCAAAGCAUCACAUGUAAUUCCUUUCCAAGAGCAACAAUCAGUGUUGGGAUCCCAAAGCUCAACUUUGGAUGAGAAAGUAAAAUUUGGGGCAUGGUAAAGAUCGUGGUGCAGUUGCAGUAGAGCAGAUUUUUGGUCAUCAAGGCACUGGUUUUGGAGAUCAGUAUAAGGAGGGGAAAAGAUAGCACAAGAGAUACAGAGCAUGAGAAAAGAAAUAGGGUAGGAAAAAUGAGUGAUGUUAGGAUAUGAAGAUUCUUCAUGUUUUGUUGGCUUUCUAUAAAAAAAUGAAGGGAAGAUUAUGCAGUUUGAGAUUUGCAUACAGGUAUUUAUAGACAAGUACUUCAUAUUACGUAGUGUUAUUGUAGCUAUAUAUCUCCUUUGAUCUCAAGAGAUAAGUUCAAAUGUGUUUUUCCAACCACAUGUUUGUACGAGUUUGAACUUUUGAGUUGAAUCAAAAUAGAUGGAAGACAAAUGUGGUUAAUGCUUGUCUAUUUUGAAUUUUAAAGAAUGAAUAAUGGGUUUCAAUGAUGAUAAGGCUGAUAGUUUUGCUUUUGUAAAUUAAUCUUUAUCACUAUAUUCUUUCUUUUAUUCUCACUUUUUUAUUUCAUAUUAUGUAUUUGUACAAAAAAAAAUAAAAAAUUAACUUUCUCAAAGUUAGGUAAUAGUGGUACGUGUCUAAAGGGAAUAGUAGAAAUAGUUAAAUAAUAGUAAAAAUUUUCACUAACCUUAAUGUCUAAUGGGAAGUAAAUUUUGUAAAGAUUUAUCAGUCAAUUCAACUCUGUUAUUAUGAAAUUAGAUUGAACAAAUUUUUUUUUUUUUUAAAUUCUAACUAAUAAGCUUGUUUCUUCUUCUUCUUCUUCUUCUUCUUCAUAUUUAUCAAUUUUGUUCCCUCCAUCAACUUCCUCAUAUUUAUCAAUUUUUUUUUUCUAAAUAAGCAUUCAGAGAAAAGAAUAAUUGUUGUAACAAUUGUUUCUUUAUAAUACUAUGCGUUUUUCAUUGGUCUAUAAUAGAGUUUAUCAUAUAUUAAUCUUUGAGAAUUCAAAACAACAUAUUAAUAAUUUAAUAUUGAAUUUAUCAUAUAUAUAUAGUCCUUUUUAUUAUUUUUGUUUUUAAUAAUGUUAAAGAAUAUUGAUUUGAAUCCUAAGAACUUAGAAUAUAUAGAUUCAUAUUUUAUAUUUUAUAAUACUUCAAAUAAAAAUAUUAACCAAUAUUAUUUUUUAUGAUAAUGAACCUUAAUAUUAAUGAAUAAGUGAAAGUUACAAACGAGAACAUUACAAAUAUAAAAGGGACAACAUGAUUGUGUUUCCGUAGAACAAAAUUAAUGGGAUUUUCUAUUAAUGAAUUAACCUUCAAUUCAUCUUGCAUGGGUUUUCUUUGCGGGCAAAGUCAGAAAAAGGACCUCAUUUGGUGAAUUUUUGUUUCAAUCCCAUUGUCAUGCUACACAAGAAAUUAAUAGUAACUUUUCUUUUUAUUUAAUUUUAAUUAUUCAAAAUUAAAUAAUAAGUUUCAACUUCAAUACCUAAUUAGAAUAUAUAUUAUCAAUUUUACGUAAUUAUACUUAUCUUUCCAAAUGUCUUCAAUCAUCACUUCUAAGUUUUUAAUUUUUUGUUAUUUGUUUCUUAUUUUCAAUUCAUUUUCUAAUUAGUAAUUAAUUAUACUCUCACUAUCUCAUUUUCUUCAUCUAUCAUUCUCUAUUUGGUCCCCUAGGAUAUUUCAAAAUUAUCAUCUUUGUUUUUCCAACACAAAAUGCUAUUACUUUUUAUAGGAGUAUAUUCCAAAAUCAUUUUGAUUUUUUAAUUACAUUUUUGUAUUUAAAACCUCAAAAUAUAAAUUUUAUAUAAUAAAUUCAAGCUUUUAAUAUAAAAUACACCAAAAUUUAAUUAGCAAUUUUCUUAAAUACCAUGAAAAUCAUAUAGAGAAAAUCAAAAUUUGAUGGAGGGAAUAUAAAUAAAAUUUUAAUGUGAAAAAUUAAAAUAAAAGAAUAUGAUAUGAUUAUAUAAUUUGAAUAAUUUCUGUAAUUGUAAUGAACCUUAAUACUAAUAAUAUCUAAAAAUUAAAAAUGUGAAAUCACUCAUAUAUAUAUAUAUUUAUAUAUAAAAGGGAGAAAAUGAUUGCUUUUGCAUAGUACAACAAUUAAUGGGAUAUUGUGCUAAUGAAUUAGUCUUCAAUUCAUUAUUCGUACAUGCUUUUCUUGUCUUUGCGUCGAACACAGAUGUUUCUUGUUUUGCUUUACGUAUCUCAUGAUUCAUGAAGCCACUCAAGUCUCGACGAAGACUCGACUCUUCAAUAUGUUUCUUGCUUUGCUUUGUGUUUCAUGAUUCUUGAAACCGCUCAAGUCUCAUAGAAGACUUGACUUCAUCAAAGAAUUAAUUGAGGAGACAAGCAAACUCAUAAUAUUAGUGUAAUAUAAAUGUGAAUCAUAAUUAUUAUUAAUUAGCUUUCUUAUUACCAUUUUCAUAUAUGAUGAUGAAUUAUAAUUACAUGCACAAUGAAAUAUAUAUAUCUAUUAUAUGAAUACAAACAUAGAGCUUUACUCAAAUGAUUUAUUCACCUCUCUUAAAAAGUGAAUACUUAUAAGAUAAGGUUUAAUUUUCAGAAUUUAUAAACUUAUGCGAAUGGCAAAUUGACAAGUUUUCAAUUAGGUAAAAUCCAAUUUAACCCAAAAUCAUCUUUAGUAAACUUAGUUUAUUAUUUUAUUAUAUAACUUAAAAGUGAUAUUUCUAUCAUUAUAUUUAUUUGAAUAAAUUUAUAUAAUCGUAAAAAUUUAUAAUAUAAACAUAUACUUAUUAUAUAUAAAUAUAUUUAAACACACAUGUUUGUCAAUUUUAUAUAUUAAAAAAGAAUAUAUAUAUAUAUACAUAUAUAUAAAAGAGAUAUGGUGAAGUUAUCCCACAUCGAUUGUAGAAAAGGAUUUGUUGUUGCAGAUUGUGUUCGUGAGAUUGAAUAUAUGCAAGAGAAAAUGUUGCAACAAAGCAUUAGUUGUAGGUGAAGUCAACCGACUGAAGUUGAUUUGGCUACACAUGAGUAUUGGAUAUCUUAUUUAAAUAAGGUGAAGUCAACAAUAAUUCGACCAUGUGUAAUCGAGAUUUCUUGAAGGUCAUUGCUGUGACAAAAUUUGUAUCAAGGUGGAGAUUUGUUGGAUUUUGACUCGAAUUCUAUUUGAGAAUUAGUUUGAAUUCCAGUGAAAUUCUAUUAGUUAAAGAAUUACUUGGUAAUUAAGUUUAUUUAAGAAUAAAUAUUUUUAAUGGGUAAGAGUUCUUAGUAAAUAGGAGUUUUUGGUGAUCAAGUAAUGUAGCUUUAUAAAUGUGAAGUGAGUUUUAAAUUUUAAAAUUAUGAGAGAGACUUAUGAAAUAUCUAUAUGGGAGAUAGAUUUGAAGGGAUGUGAAAAAGAGUUUGUUUGGAAAAAAACCAGUUGCUUGGAAUAUAGGAUAUUUCAUAGGUUAUACACUAUAGAGCAUAGAAACUAGUAUUGUUUCAGGAGCUCGAGAUUAGUGUUUGUUUAUGGUGUUUUGUACUCUUUGUAAUCUCUAUAUUUAUAGUGAAUUUUCUCUCUCAACCGUGGAUGUAGGCAAUUGGGUCGAAUCACAUUAAAUAUUGCCUCUUGCAUGUGAUUUAUUUUGUAUUGAUCUCAUUGUGAAAAUUUUUUUUGCUUUAAAAAUCCCAACACCCACAUUGAUUGUUGCCAACAUCUUCUCAUGAGCCAGGCAUAGAAGUUUUCCCCUAUGGCCUGAUGUGUGAAAAAGGAAGAUUGUUGAGGUUAUCCCACAUCAAUUGUUGCCAACAUCUCUUCAUGAGCUGGGUAUAAAAGCUCUACCCUAUGGCCCGAUGUGUGAAAAGGGGAGAUUGUUGAAGUUAUCCCACAUCGAUUGUGAAAGGAGAUUUGUUGUUACAGAUUAUGUUUGUGAGAUCGAAGACAUGCAUGAGAAAAUGUUGCAACAAGGCAUUAGUUGUAGGUGAAGUCAACCAGGUGAAGUUGAUUUGGCUGCACAUGAGUUUUUACCAUCUUAUUUGAAUCAGGUGGAGUCAGCACUGAUUUGACCAUGUCUAGUUGGGAUUUCUUGAAGGUCAAUAGAAUUUGUGUCAAAGUGGAGAUUUGUUAGAUAUUGACGUAAAUUCUAAUGAGGAAUUAUUUAAAUUCCAAUGAAGUUCUAUUAGGUAAAGAAUUACUUGGUAGUUAAGUUUAUUUAAGAAUAAAAAUUCUUAAUGGGUAAGAGUUCUUAGUAAAUAGAAAUUCUUAGUAACUAAGUAAUGGAGCCUUAUAAAUAUGAAGUGAGUCUUAAUUUUUAGAAUUAUGAGAGAGAAUUAUGAGAUCUAUAUGGAAGAUAAGUUUAUAGGGAUGUGAAAAAGAUUUUGUUUAGGAAAACACCAAUUGCAUAGAAUAAAGGAUAUUCCAUAAGUUAUACACUAGAGAGCAUGGAAACUAGAAUUAUUUCAGGGACUAGAGAUUAGUGUUUGGUUAUGGUGUUUUGUACUUUUUGUAAUCUAUACAUUUAUGGUGAAUUUUCUCUCUCAUCCUUGGAUGUCGGCAAUUGAGCCGAACCAAAUUAAAUAUUACCUCUCGCUGUGAUUUAUUUAGUAUUUGAUCUGAUUGUGAAAUUUGUUUUUGCAUUAAAACUCCCAAUAGGAUCCACUUGCACUAGUAUAAUCUUACACUUUUUUUUUAUCUUUAGAUCAAAUUAAAUCCAUGACUCAUUUGAAUCAUAAUAAUAUUUUUAAAUUUAGUAAUUUUAAUCCAAGUAUCCAAAAAAAAUAUAAAAGUUACACUAGUAUAAGUGGAUCUUUCAUAUAUAUAUAUAUAUAUAUAUAUAUAUAUAUAUUGGAAGGUGUUAAAUAUAAUGUGGUCAACAUCCCAUUAUCUAACUUAAGUAAAUAUCUUUUGAUUCAAUUAAAAGAUAAUUAUGGUUUAACACUUAUUAUUUGUUAAAACUCCUAUUGAUCAAAUAAAAACUAAAAAGAAAAUUAUUUUGUUAAUAACUUAUAUGUUGAUGGAACGUAUGAAUAAUGAUUAUUAAUUAAAGAAACAAAAAUUACUCCUUUUUCUGCCUAUAAAUUAAUGCAUUCUAUCUGAUGAUCAAGAUGUUAUUUCGGGGCUCAUCAUCCAAUGUUCAGGUUAGUAAGAUACACCAAAAGCAAAAAAAUGAGAGAGCAGAAAGUAGUUAAUGAGGGUAAAGAAAGUUGAAUAGUGAAUCACAUGUUUGGUCUGAUUUUACCUUUUCUAUCUCAUGGGUGAUGACGUAGCUAACUGGGUUUCUAUGUGUAAGACUUAUUAUGUGGCUGCUGACAUGACCGCUUAAGUAUAACAAUAGUGAAGAGCUUUAAAAAUAAUAACAUUUUCGUUUAAGAUGAACAAAGAAAAUGAGACGGAAGAAAUCCUAUAUUUAGAUGUUACCAUUAGAAUGAUUAAUACAUUCUCUACUGUAAAAGAUGAUAAAACUUUAUUAUAAAAUUAAUCAUAAAUAAAAGGAUAAACUUAAAAAAAAAUUUACAUUUAUGUCUAACCUUGUAUAAUUAUAUGCCACGAAGUAAAAGUUAAAAAUAUAUAUAUCAGCAUAAUUGUUAAAUUGAAAUAGGUAUUAUAAUUUGAGAAUUUAAUAUCAAGUAUCAUAUUGUAUCGUAAAAUAAUAAAUAAUUUUUAAAAUUAAUUAUAAAUAAUAUAUAAAUAUAAAAUAUUUUUUUAAAAAAUAUUAUACAUAUUAAUAGAAUUGAAUGAUUACUGGAUAUAAACAAAAGGAUAUAAUUAUUUUUUAAACUCUCAACAUAUUUUGUUUGAAAAAAAAUUAUAUUUAAUAUAUUGUCAAUAUAUAAAUAUUAUAUAUUAUAAAUGAAUCACAAAAUUAUACUUUAUGAAAAAUUUGAUAUUUUAAUUUUGGACUCAUAAAGAUAAUGAUAGUAUGUUCUUUACUUUAUACUUUUAAGUCUUCCCAUCAUGCAAAUAUUUAAGUCUUCUUGCUCUAUCAUUAUUUAUGAAAAAUAAUCUUCUUAGCAAUUUACUUAAGUCUGAUCUAUCUUUUAAAAAAGAUAAAAAAAAAUAGUAAUUUACUCAAUGGAGGUUAUCUUCUGUCUUCCAGUUAAAUUGUCUGGGAAUGGGUUUUAAGUGUAUAAAUCAUUAUUUCUAUAUUUUACUUUUUUCAAAAACUUAGACUAAAGCAAACACUAAUAUUAUUAUUUUUAUGAAGUAAAGAUGGGACCAAAAAGACUCAUUUGCAUGCUUCAUACCAAGACUAAGUAUAAUGCAAAAACUAAGACUUAUCAUUCUUUCUUUGAUUUUUUUUUUUUUACUUUUUUAAAUUUCUAUGAUAAGACUUAGUCCUUGCUUUAUACUUAUUUUUGUGAAGUAAAGAUGGGGCAAAAUGAGUGACACAUUUGCAUACUUCAUGCUAAGACUAAGUAUAAAGCAAAUAUUAAGAUUUAUCAUUCUUUUAAGCGAAAGCAUAAUAUAAGAACAGGUAUAAUAUAAAAAUAUGGACAUAAAGAUUAGGAAUACUAUAUUUGCUCCAUACUUUAUCCAUUGAUAUUCUUAAAUAUUGCUUGUAAAGUUAAAAAAAUUGCGUUAACAAUAUAUUAAAUAAUUUUUCUAUAUGUAUUCCAUAUUUAAAAUGAAAAUUAGAGGCAUUGUAGCAUUUAACUCAAAUUAUUGAUACACACUUUUCUUGUAAGCAGGGUUCUAAGGCCAUUUUCACCAAAUUAAAAAUAAUCCAAUAGAUUUGGAGCUUAGUCGCAUAUAUCAUUUCUACAAGGGAUUUGUUGCGUCAAAGUUUUAGUAAUAAUUAAGGUCAAAACCCAAUUUUUCAUUUGGCAUUCCACAACCCAUUCAAAAGGAUUCAUAGAAAAAUUAUAAUGUGAAAUAAUUAAUUAUUUGUUGAUUUUGAUAAUCAAUAUUAAUUGAAUAUUUUUAAUUCAUGCAAAUAUCAAUACAAUUAUAUUUCGUUAAUAACAAUACUUUUAUCAAUAAUAGUUCUAAUAAUGAAAUAAAAUAAAAAAUUAAUAAUUAAAUAUAUUAAAAAUAAUUAUUUAUAAAUUAUGUAAUUUAUGUCAUGAAAAUUUUGAAGGCACAAGUGGUUUUGUUAAUAACUAAUGUGUGCAUGUUAAUAUUCAUGUAGGUUAUCUUUUGUCUUCUAGUUAAAUUAACAGACCGAGAAUGAGUUUUAAGUAUAUUAAUUAUUAUUGCUAUAUUUUAGUCUUUUUAAUGACUUAGACCGAAGCAACUGUUAAGAUUAUUAUUUUUGUGGAGUAAAGAUGGGGGAAAAAAGAUUGACAAAUUUGCAAGUUUAAUGCCAAGACUAAGAAUAAAGCGAAGACUAAGACUUAUCCUUCUUACUUUGCUCUUUAAGAAAAAAAAAAAAACUUUCCUUUAAUUUCUAUGAUAAACUUAUUAAAUUUUGAGUAAAUUACCCCAUAAAUCUAUAAUUGUUAUUUAAUCCAUUCACAACUUUUAAAAUUUAAUUUUUGAAUCACUAUAAAUUAUUGUCUUUUAUGUAAACAAUUUAUUAUUUGAUCUUGAUUUCACUUAUUUGGAUUAAUUGAUUAGGGUUUAGUCUAACACAAAACACUAAGAUAUACUAUAAACUUAAAUUUCCUAUUAUCUAAAAAUAAUAAGAUGAAAGCACAACUUUGAGUUGAAAUGUUCACACUAUCCAAGUAGAGCUCUGUAAAAGGUUUCAAAUUUUGGAUUAAUGUCUUGAAGUUUGGGUUUUCUAGUUUCAAAAGUUGUUCAAGUUCAAAAGGCAGAUAGUAUAGAUCGAGAACUUGCAGAUAUCUUAGAUAACAAGAAUUUUGAUUAGAUAGAUUAAGAGAGACUAACCUUUGUUAAAGUGGAUUAUUUCACAUCUAAUAAAAUUUCAAUUUCCUGUAGCCUUAUAUUCAGGUUGGGGCCCUCCACUAAUAAGGAAAAUGCAUAAUCAAAGAUUUUUCAGUUGUCUUUAGCCUGUAAAUACUUUAUUUUAGGAUAUCCCUCUAUUUAGGAAAUCAGUAAUUAGACCAGAAUGUUAGGCAAUAAUAAUCUUUCCAUUCUUUUGGUUCUUUGGUCUACGGUAUAUAUUCGAAUGUAAUCCUUUUAUCAAUACAAGCUGAGAAUUCUUUCCAAUUUACAAUUUCUGUGACGGAGUGCCAGCCAUUUUGAGGGAUAAGUUGCAGAACUUUGAAAGUGCUACAAGCUGCUUGAUAACAUAAAAAGAGAGUUUGUAAAUUGAAGAAGAGUUCUCAACUUGUAUUGAUAAAAGAAUUACAUUAUGAUAUAUACAGUAGACCAAAGAACAAAAGGAAUGGAAAGAUUAUUAUUACCUAACAUUUAUGGUUUAUUACUAUUUCUUAAGACAAAGAGAUAUCCUACAAUAAAAUAUUUACAAGUUCCACCAAGGAACAACUGAACCAAAAUCCUUGAUUAUUGGGCAUGUUUGCUUAUAUCAGUACUGCUAAUGAUUUUAAGUUGGAUGCUUAACAAUCUUGUUUCGUAUGAAAUCUCCACUGGACAUUUGGCCAUGGAAACAUCAGUUUGAAAGGUUGAGAUGAGUUAAAAUUGGGAGUCUAUCAAACUUAUAUUGAUGAUAUAACUUAAAUAAACCCUAAUAUUUUUCUUGUUGAUGAUAUUUUAUAAAUAAAAAUAGCAAUCAAAUAAAAUAUUUGUCUUUUUUUUACUGCUAAGGCAUCAUUUGUCAUUUGAGUAUUUAUUUUAAUAAAAGUUAAUAAAAAGCUAUCAUCAUAUAUGUCAAGAAGAUUAUGAUAAUUAUUUAAGAAUUAAUAUAUAUGAAUUUCCUCCAACCAAACGAAUGAAUCUGAACACAGGAUGCCCUAAAAAUGGAAAAAAAAAACCUGGUGUAUUGCAUUUUUUUGAGAAUCAUACUUUUAUCUGGAAUCUAAGAUUCUACAAACCAAACACCCCCUAAGAGUUAAAUCAAAAUAGGUGGAAGACAGACAAACAUAUUUAUUGCUUGUCCAUUUUGAAUUUUAAAGAAUGAAUAAUGGGUUUCAAUGAUGAUAAGGCUCAUAGUUCUGUUUUGCAAAUUAAUCUUUAUUGUAGACACCCCAUUUUGUCCGAGGUUUUUUAUCAAUUGAGACUAAUCCAAGCUCAGUUGUAGGGAUUUUUAUUCAGUUUUAUUUCAAAUUUUUUUUAUUUCAUAUUUAUCAUUUUUAUUUUUAUUUUAUGGUCUAUAUAUUGUUUAUUUUCUUUUUCUUUCUCCAUUAUCUGAUUAAUUAAAAAAAAAGUUGAAAGAAUGAGAUUAGGCUUGGUGAUGAUUGUUAUCAAAAAGCAUAACUAGAUGCUAAUCUUUAGCUUUGGAUGAUAAUCAGAAUUGAACUGAAACUCAAUCGCAUAGUUUUAUAAAUCAUUGCAAUUCAUAGCAUUCAAAAAGGAACAAGAGAUCGGAUAAGGGGGCAAUAACAAAAAGGAAGAAAAUCAAGUGAUUCUAAGAACAUCAAUAAGGUCUUUGGACAACUAUUGCUAACAGAAUACUCCUUGCAUAGUUAUCCAGUCCUAGUCUACCAUCAACCCACAAUUGAACCCCAAAGCUACACACAGAAAGCCAUAAAAACCACAAAAACCACAAAAAAAAAAAAUCAAGCAAAACUUCAUCACCAUUCUUAACACACUGUCACAUCCACAUUACCAUCUACAUCCUCACCGAACCAUGUUGCCAUUGCCAACCAACUCUUGUGAGAUACCCCUAAACAACACCACAUAUCGAAAAGCCUCUUUUGUUUGAUUCCAUUCAAUCAUAAUUCUAUUAGCGAGAGUCAUAUAGCCGUCAAACACCUAGCAAAACAAAAAAUCCAGAACACCCAGCAAUUACUCAGAAGACUCUAGGAAACAAAAAAAAAAAGUAGAGCAAAAUCAUCUCACCAUCUAUAAAUCCAUCACACUGGAACCAAGGUGGUGCGCAACAUAGCCAACCACAGCCCCAAGUUCAAUUCCAACAAACAAUCAAAAGCGACCAUUGUUUUGAUUGCAACUCUAGCCCAAAAAAGAAUCUUGCUCCAUCGUCCUGUAAAACAAAAAGGAAAUAAGGGAUUAGAAAAGAGGAUACAGAGAAAAAAUAAAGUAACCUAGUGGUAUCGAGAGCAAAAAUAGAGGAUUAUACAGAAAGCAGUAGCACACAUACAGAGCUCUCAAAAAGCUCUACCAAUGCAAACACUGUUUCCACCCAUCAAAGCCCCUUAGCACUAACACAUACAGAAGCUACCAGCCAUAAGAAUAGGGACUUACCACCACCAUUAGCUUCUUAUUGGAUAAUCACCCCUUGUCAGUUAGCCAUAUCAACAUCAAUUUAGAAACGUGGCAAAAUCAGAAACCAAAGAUCAAAAAUGAAAAGCAUAAGAUCAAACAAACCAAAAAAAAAAAAGAGGAAAAAAUGGGGAAACCUGAAACUUACCCUGGUGGCAACAGUGGCAAGCGAUGAUCGAUGAAACUUCUAGGAAAUCCGUAUGGUGAGGACGAAGGGAUUGAUGCUAGAAAUAAUAUACUAAAAGUUGGAAAGGAUCCGAUGGUGGAAAAGGCUACAACGAAAAAAGGAAAACCUGAAGCUUCAACUUCAAAUCUAUGCUUGUAGAGAGUGAUUUUUGAAAAAAAAGAGCCUAUAUUCGAGACGAGAAGUGUAAGAAGUAGCGAUGAGGAGAAUUUUAGCUUGAUCGAUCACCAGACUAUGGCGGAGUAUGACGAUGUUGGUGAUGAAUCACGGCGGUGCCAGUGCCAAAAUUUGGAAACCUUUAAAGUUUCCAUCUUAGGUUCUUCUGUCCCUAGAGAGAAAGGGUGAGAAAGCUGAGGGUAGAGAGAGAGUGUAAGCGAGAGAUCUGAGGUAGAAUGUUUAAAUUCUAGCUUAUAUAGCUGCAUAAAAUGACAUCGUUUUGGGUAUUAGCUAAGAGCAAGAUCCACGCGUUUCUAGCUGGGGCAAUCUGAGCCAUAGCGCAACCAGCUUCAACCCGCUCCGUAGACUUUUCUGCUGAGUCGAGCUGAGCCGAUUUUCCCCUGAGCCACACCUUUGAGCCGUUUUCUAUAUCUGGAGUCGAGCCGCACCAACCUUCCAGCCGAGUCGUUUCGAUUUUUUUUAUAUUUUUUUGGUAUUUUAUUUAUUAUUAUUAUUAUUUAUAUUUUUUAUUUAUGUGUUUACUUAUAUUUUUUAAAGUAUUUUUGCAUGAAUAAAUUUUAAAAAAAAGAAUAAAAUAAAUAUAAAAUAAAAUUUUCCAAAAAAAAAAAAUUUUUAAGGAAAAGUUGAAAGUAUCAAUUUUCCUUGAAAAUAAAAUUCUCAAAAAAAAUAUUUUUAAGGAAAAGUUAAAAGUAUCAAUUUUUCUUAAAAAUAAAAUUAAAAAAAAAACAUUUCUUGAGGAAAAGUUGGAAGUACCAAUUUUCCUUAAAAAUAAAACUUGAAGAAAAAUAUUUUUAAAGGAAAAGUUGAAAGUAUCAAUUUUCCUUAAAAAUAAAAUUUCUAAAAUAAAAAUUUUCAAAAGCAUUUUGAGGAAAAGUUGAAAGUAUCAAUUUUUCUUGAAAUUAAAAUUUUAGAAAAAAACAUUUUUGAGGAAAAGUUGGAAGUACCAAUUUUUCUUAAAAAUAAAAAUUAUAAAAAAAAGCAUUUUAAGGAAAAGUUGAAAGUAUCAAUUUUUCUUGUAUAAAAACAAUGAGUUUUUUUAUAAAAUAAAAAAAAGAUUAAUAUCAAAAGUCGAAUAACUAUUCUUUUUUUUCUCUUUCUGUGAAAAUUUUUAAAUAUUAAAUAAUCUGACAAUGGAGCCUCUACAAGUGAAACAAUAGUUUUCUUGUAUACUCUUAAGGUGGGAAUUUUUCUUAAUUUUUUACCAAAAGUAUUGGAAUUAAUUAAGAAUAGUUUCCAAUAAUUAAUUACUUGGUAAAAUUUUUUAAGGCUUAUUAGAUAACAUAAAAUUAAGCUGGUACCAUCUUUUAAUGGGCCUUGUAAGGGUGCUAUAACCUUUCUCACUCAUAAUCGAACUCCCAAAGCCUAUUCUGGUUAAUAGACUCGAACCUAUUCUUUUUGGAUCCCUUAAGCUUAAGUGUUCAUUGAAAGAAUAGAUUCCUUGGGUGGUCAAUUGCACCUAAAAAAAAAAUUGGUGGCGACUCCUCAAGUCAAUGUCCAGCGAAAAAUCCCUAGAUCUAGACGUUAUAACAGUUUGGUGACUCCACUAGGGAUAGUUGAGAGUCAAGCCAGCAAAUAAAUUUGUGUUAUCCAAAAGCCUAAUAAAAUUGAAUUUUUUUUUUGUAAAGAUUUUUAUGCAUUUAUUUGUUUGAUAAUUAUAUCAUUCAUAUGCAUGUGCAAGAUAUGAGUUCUAUACACGAACUUCGUUCCACUAUGAGGGAAAAGUACCUAUGCUUUCGUGAGGUUUUAGUGCCUUCGUAGUGGUUAGCGAAAUACUCUCACUUAAAUUAAACCUUUUCUGCUUGCAACCUAUAAUAGGUGAGGAUUGUGGUGCUUUACUAGUCUGUGACGAACAAUGAUAUAAGAAGUAAUUUGGGAACCUUUAGACUUUGGCUUUGAACCACAUAUAGUGAACCUUAGAAGUGCCUAACCCUAGAUAGAGCCCUUUCUACCCAAUGAUAGAUACACCUCAAAACUAGGACACAAGAAAGAAUAAGUUGUGUUGAUCUAAUCGUUUUGAUUGUUUGACUUUGUGUAUUUGUAUUAUCAUGUCAUGCAUCAUUUUUAUUGUCAUAUGUAACAUUAUGCAUCUGCAUCAUUUUCAUAUUAGAUUUCAUCCAUGAAAAUGUACAUUUCAUUAAUGCAUCAACAUAUCAUACAUAAAGCAUAGUGUAACAUUUCUAAUCAUAAUUGUUGUGUAAAAAGUUCAAGGAUAGCUCCACCAAGCAACCUCACUCACCAAUGCAAUAUAAGAGCUUGAGCUAGAUAAAUGGAAUAGGAAAAUUCCAACCAUCUUGAAGGGAUAGAGAAAGCUCAAGAGAAGCUAGAAAAAGAGUUGAGUAAGAUUUUGGAGGCCUUGAACAAGUUUAAUAAAAGGAAGGGUAUAGAAAAAUGUACUAGCCAACAAGAUGCUCCAUCAUAAAAAGUGGCUGACCCUCUAUAUCUUUUCAGUUUUGGGCCACAUUAAGCCCAACCCACACAAGGUCCACCACCACAGCAGUUUACCUAUCCUGUAGGGUACACAUACCUUAGAAUGGCAUCAGCUUCAAACUCGGGGCAAUAUCAGAGUUAUGUAAAUCUUGUCUUUUAAGAAUGCAGUAGAACCAAAUCGAUCCCUAAUUUGGAUGAUCCAAAAGAGAAAGAAAAGCUAAGGCCCAAAGAAAAUGAGACUUUAGAAGCCUCAAAAGUUGAACAGAAGAUGAACUUGUUAGAGGAAAGGUUUCGAGCAAUGGAAGGAGUUGGUUUUUAUGGUUUAGUGGAUGCAGCUGGGCUCUGUUUAGUCUCAGAUUUUGUUAUUCCUACAAAGUUCAAAGUGUCAAAGUUUGAAAAAUAUGAUGGUACAAAAUGUUCGAAGACCCACAUUAUCAUGUAUUGUCGAAAAAUGGUUGCCUAUGCUAAUAAUGAGAAGCUAUUAAUGCAUGUGUUCCAAGACAUCCUCACGGGCUCUGCUGCUAGGUGGUAUGUCCUAUUGAAAUGGAAAUAUGGGUUAUUCUAUUGAAACUUGCCCUACUUUCAAACAUAAAGUGUAAAGUUUGAUCUAAAAAGGCUUAGUGAGUUUUGAUGAAUCAGAAGGGCAAGCUGUCAAUAAAAAUCAUUCACCUAAUUGUACAGGGGCAUGAUUUUAAAGAAAGAUGUGAAGGCUGAUUGGAAGCUACUUGUCAUUCUAGAUUUCUUUCAUAGUAAUGUUAGUAUUUCUUUUAUGUAAUAGGAUUUCAUUUGUUAUCAUUUUAAUAAAAGAAAAGUUGAUGCAUUUCAUUACAUUUUUUUCUUUCAUUUAACCAUUGUUUUAUGCUUUGUCACCUUUCAUAACUUUUCAUUUCCAUUCUUAUUCUUAAUGAUGAAUGUUUAGACAAUAAUGCUAACAAUAAUUCUGAGAUUUAAUUUUGAAAACUCAUUCGCCUUGAUCUGAAAAGAUUUUUUGAACAAAAGAAGCUAGCUGCUAGUAGAUAUAGAAUAGAUAUAUCUUGAAGAUGCAAUCUUUUAUAAAGAUCCAUGAGCUUAUUUUUGCUUAAUAGAUGAUCUUUAAAGAAAGCAUUUAUAUUUGAGAUGAAAAAUGGCUAUCUUUCUUUUAUCAUUCGAAAAACCAUUCAUUGCUACCCUUUUUGAGCCUAUUAUGAUUUUUUUUCUCUAAACAACCCUGACCAAGGAUCACCCUCCACACUGGGGGGUAAUUUUUGAAAAAAAAAAAGCAAAAGAUCAUAAAAGGUCUUAAAGCAAACAAAAAAAAAGAUGAAAAGAGAAAGAAAAAGAAAAAAGAAAAAAGAAAAUGAAUGCCACACAUGAUUUGGGGCAAAGUAAACGGAAUCUUUUUGUGAAGAAUGAGAUCAAUGAAAAAGGAAAAAAUAGUGAAAUAAGGAAUGGGGCAAAAUGUCAAGUUGCAUCAAAUAAUAAAUGAUCCAUUGGUUUUGAACCUUUUAAACAUAUAUAUUAAGCCUAUUUUAUCCAUUUCUUUCAUGACCCCACACUAUGGCCUACAUUACAACCUUGAAAAGUCCAUUUAGAUCAAGUGUGAAUGCUCGAAUUGAAUAAUCAUAUGUUGGGCAAAGGCGUACUCAUGAUGGAAUCAUGUUAUAAUGCUCUAGAGAUUAAUGUGUGAGAGAUAUCAACAAUGGAUGAAAUAUGAGAAAAAAGAAAAGAAGAGGAUGAAAAAAGAUGAAAAAAAGAAAGAGAAAAAAAUGGAUAAAAAAAGGAGAAAAAGUGACAAAGGAAAAAAGGAAAAAAAUAGAAAAUGAAAAAGUAUGAAAUAUGAAAGGAGAAAAAAUGAAGACUCAAAUUGAAAACCCGAAAGGACGAUUUGGGUAGACCAAAUCUCUGAGUUGAAAGUUGGAUGAACAGUUCAAAUAUAUAAAAGAUCAAGGCAUCUAAAGAUCUUCCAAAGCUGAGGCAAAGUUUGAUGAGCUCAAAAUGAUUUCGGCAGUCAAUGAAAUGAGUUUUCGAAAAAGAAUCUUGGAUUAAUGUUCAAAAUUAUUUGAAUAUUCAUUUGUCCCAAUGACAUACAUCCAACUUGUUUCUUUCCCCUAUUUGCUUUUGUACCAAGACUCACUUGUCAUUGAUUGCUUUUCUCCCAAUGCACUUUCUACUCUUUUGUUCUCACAUCCCUAAAAAGAAUCCAAAAAAGGUUUGAUUGCAUUGUGUUUGUCAAGAAUUGAAAUGAUAAUGAAUGAAUGAAUGAAUAUGUGUUUAAGAGGUUCUUGCAUUCCUUUGAAAAGAAAUCCAGGAUGAUCGAUGGCAAAAAUGAUGAAGAGAUGGCAGAAACUUGAAAAAGACACAUGGGAUGGCCAAAUGAUGAACAUGGGGAUGGAUUGCUCAACAAAAUGAAUAGAGGGCAAAGCCUGUUAGCUAUGAUUAAAUAAGGGAAAUAAUAUAGAUCAAUGGAAAAAAUUUGUUCUGAAACAACUAGUGCUAAGCAGCUUAUGAGUGGUGACCAAAUGAUGAUGGACAAAAUUUGUUUUGGAAUGGUUAGUACUGAAAGGCUUGUGAAUUGUGGUCAAAUAUCAAUUGAUGAAACUUGUUCUAAAGUGUUGAAGAGCUAUAAAAGGAAGAUGAGAAAUGGUGGAGUUUUAAGAACCAUAACCACAAUUAAUUAGAGUUUCAUGACAUUUAUCUGCAUUACAUGCAUUAUGUUUGCAUCGUCAUUUGAAUAGUACAUGCACAUGAUUCAACGAAUAUUUAAAGUUUUGUUUGGACAUGCAUCAGCCAGCAAACAUGGAAAUUAUGAUUUAUGAUAUGGCAUCUACAUUAUUAUGUGAAUCCAAAUUGUUGCACUUACAUCCUUGAUUAUGACAUAUAAAAUUUUGAGUCACCUAAAGAAAAAAUUGUGAAUCUUUUGACAAGAAUCCUAAUUUUUUUAAAAUGAGAAUUUUUAAGUCUUAAAUGAGAAUCUUUAAGACGUUUUCAAAUGAGAAUCUUUGAGUCUUAAAUGAGAAUCUUUAAGACAUUUUCUUUAAGACGAACUCAAAUAAGAAUCUAUAAAUUUCAAGUAAGAAUCUUUGAGGUGUGAAACCCAAAAUUUGUCUAAUGUGAAUCUUUGAAUUCAAAUGAGAAUCUUUGAAUUUUAAAUGUGAAAUCCUAAAGUUUGUCGAAUGUGAAUCUUCGAAUUCAAAUGAGAAUCUUUGAAUUUUAAGUGAGAAUCUUUGAGGUAUGAAACCCAAAAUUUGUUGAAUGUAAAUCUUCGAAUUCAAAUAAGAAUCUUUGAAUUUCAAAUGAGAAUCUUUGAGAUGUGAAACCCUAAAGUUUGUUGGGUGUGAAUCUUUUAACUAAUGAAAAGUUUUGAACUUCUGAAUAUGAACCUCCAAAAUUCAAACGAAAAGCUUUGAACUCAACUUUUGGAUGCGAAUCUCUAAAUUUUUUAGUACCUUUGAACAUAGAUGUGAAACUCUAAGAUUUCUUGAAGGUGAACUUUUGAAUUUGAAUGAGAAGCUUCGAAUGAGAAUUUUCAAAAUUUGAAUGAAAAUCUUUAAAUGUUAGAUAUGAGUUUUGCAAUUUGCAAAUGCAAAUCUUACAAAUCCAAAUUCUUGAAUGUCUGAAAUCUUGUGAAACUGAAAUUUUGAGAAUCAAAUUUUAGUGAAUUCUUACGAAGCUUAAAGGUUCUUACAAAUUUCAACCUUUGAUUUUCAAACUCAAAUUGUGAAUCAUUGAGUUUCCAUUACAAAUUUUAUUAAAUCUGAUCUAUGACUCAUUUGGACAUGAUUGUCAAGGAGCAUUUUACUUUUCAAAGUUGUAAAGCCUCUGUUUAGAGGAGCCUUAUUUAUUUUUUUUUCAAAAGUCAUUGAGCCUCUGUUAGAGGAGUCUUAUUUAUUUUUCUCAAAGUCGUUGAGCCUUUGUUUAGAGGAGCCUUGUUUAGAGGAGUCUUGUUUAUUUUCCUCAAAGUCAUUAAGCCUCUGCUUAGAGGAGCCUUUAUUUUUCCAAAAGUUGUUAGCCUCUGCUUAGGGGAGUCCUUUAUUUUUUAAAGUCAUUGAGCCUCUAUUUAGAGGAGCCUUUAUUUUUUUGAAAGUUGUCAGCCUCUUCUUAGGGGAGUUUUGUGCCCUUCAGCAAGUUUAAGUGUCUGAUUAAAAAAAAACUGUGUCGAGCUAAUUAUCUAAAUAUGAAAUGUGUCUAUAUCUUCGCACAAUUCCUGUUGCAUAAGAACUGUGCAAAGAGGGGCAGUUGUAAACACCGCAUUUUGUCUGAGGUUCUUUGUCAAUUGAGACUAAUCCAAGCUCGAUUGUAGGGAUUUUUAUUCAUUUUUAUUUCAUUUUUUUUAUUUCAUAUUUAUCAUUUUUAUUUUUAUUUUAUGGUCUAUCAAUUGUUUAUUUUCAUUUUUUUCUCCAUUAUCUGAUUAAUUUAAAAAAAAAAAAGCUGAAAGAAUGAGAUUAGGCUUGGUGAUGAUUGUUAUCAGAAAGCAUAACUAGAUGCUAAUCUUUAGCUUUGGAUGAUAAUCAGAAUUGAACUAAAACUCAAUCACAUAGAUUUUAUAAAUCAUUGCAAUUCACAGCAAUAAAAAGGGAAUAACGAAUCGAAUAAGGGGGCAAUAACAAAAAAGAAAAAAAUCGAGUGAUUCCUAAAAACAUCAGUAAGGUCCUAGGAAAACUAUUGCCAGCAAAAUACUCCUUGCAUAGUUAUCUAACCCUAGUCUACCAUCAACCCAAAAUCGAACCCCAAAGCUACACACAGAAAGCCAUAAAAAGCACAAAGAAAAAUCGAGCAAAACUUCAUCACCAUUCUUAACAUACUGUCACAUCCACAUUACCAUCUACACCCUCAUCAAACCAUGUUGCCGUUGCCAACCAACUCUUGUGAGAUACCCCUAAACAACACUACGUACCGAAAAGCCUCUUUUGUUUGAUUCCAUUCAAUCCUAAUUCUAUUAGCGAGAGUCAUACAGCCACCAAACACCUAGCAAAAAAGAAAAUCUAGAACACCCAGCAAUUACUCAAAAGACUCCAGGAAACAAAAAAAAAAAAAAAAGCAGAGCAAAAUCAUCUCAACAUCCACAAGUCCAUCAUGCUGGAACCAAAGUGGUGCGCGACACACCCAACCACAGCCCCAAGUUCAAUUCCAACAAACAAUUAGAAGUGACCAUUAUUCUGAUUGAAACUCUGUAGCCCAAAAAAGAAUCUCACUCCAUUGUCCUGUAAAACAAAAAGGAAAUAAGGGAUUAGAAAAUAGAAUACAGAGAAAAAACAGAGUAACCUAGUGGUAUCGAGAACAAAAAUAGAGGAUUAUACAGAAAGUAGCAGCACACAUACAGAGCCCUCACUGAGCUUUACCAACGUAAACACUGUCUCCACCCAUCAAAGCCCCUUAGCACUAAUACAUACAAAAGUUACCAACCAUAGAAAUCGAGACUUGCCACCACCAUCAGCUUCUUGUUGGAUAAUCACCCAUCGUCAGUCAACCACAUCAACAUCAAUUCAGAACAUAUGGUGAGGACGAAGGGAUUAACGCGAGAAAUAAUAUACUAAAAGUUGGAAAAGAUUUGACGGUGAAAAAGGCUGGAACAAAGAAAGGAAAACCCGAAGCUUCAACUUCAGAUCUACACUUGUAAAGAGUGAUUUUUGGAAAAAAGAGCCCAUAUUCGAGAAGAAAAGUGCAAUAAGUAGCGACGAGGAGAAUUUUGGCUUGAUCGGUCAUCGGACAGUGGUGGAGUAUAGCGGCACCGGUGACGAUCACUACGGCGCUGGUGCUGGAAUCUAGAAACCUUUGAAGUUUUCAUUCUUGGUUCUUCUAUCCCAAGAGAAAGAGGGAUAGAAAGUUGAGGGUAAAGAGAAAGUGUAAGGGAGAGAUCUGAGGCAAAAGGUUUAAAUUCUGGCUUAUAUAGCCGCAUAAAACGAUGUCGUUUUAGGUAUUAGCUAAGAGCAAGAUCCGCGCGUUUCCACCUGGGGCGAUCCGACCCGUAGCACGAUCAGCUUCAACCCGCUCCGCAGACCUUUCUGUCGAGUCGAGCCAAGCCGAGCCGAUUUCCCCCUGAGCUGCACCUUUGAGCCGUUUUCUAUGUCUGGAGCCGAGUCGCGCCAACCUUCUAGUCGAGCUGUUUUGAUUUUUUUUUUGGUAUUUUAUUUAUUAUUAUUAUUAUUGGUAUAUUUUUUAUUUAUGUGUUUACUUAUAUUUUUUAGAGUAUUUUUGCAUGAAUAAAUUUAAAAAAAAAAGAAUAAAAAACAUAAACUAAAAAUUUCCAAAAAAAAAAAAAAUUUUUAAGGAAAAGUUGAAAGUAUCAAUUUUCUUUAAAAAUAAAAUUAAAAAAAAAAAAAGCAUUUCUUGAAGAAAAGUUGGAAGUAUCAAUUUUCCUUAAAAAUAAAACUUGAAGAAAAAUAUUUUUAAAGAAAAAGUUGAAAGUAUCAAUUUUCCUUAAAAGUAAAAUUUCUAAAAUAAAAUUAAUAAUUAAUAUGAAUUAACAAAAUUAAGAUGCAUAUUAGUAAAAUUCAAAAAAUGAAAGGCUUUUUUUGGAUUGACGGUAACUCAAGGACACAUCUAAUUGCAUUCACUGUUGCAAAUAAGAAAAAACAUCUUCAUAUUUUAUUCCAUUCCAUGGCUUAAAACGAAAGAUAAGAGCAAAGCAAGAUGCAUGAACAUCAAUAGUCAAUUCCACAGUUCUAGGCUUGGCAAGUCAAGGUCUCCUCUCUCUCUCUCUAAUCAUUACUAAAUUCCAAUUCUUUAUAGUUGAAGGCAACUUCAACGAAUUAAUCGUGAAAAUUAGACUAUCUCCAACACCGUUUAGGAAAAAUUUGCAUUCCAAUUCUUUAUAAUUGAAGGCAACUUGAAUGGACUAAUCAUGAAAAUCACAGUCUGUAACUCCAUCUUGGAAAAAUUUGCAAUUCAAAUCUUUAUAAUUGAAGGCACCUUGAGUGAAUCAGGGUGGAUCCACAUGUUCAAUUAAAGUGUUUGUAGAUAUCCCUAAAGAUUGUAAAACAAGAAGAUUUGUUAACAAUAUUUCGUUGGACAUCCCUUUUCAUCGAUAAAAUUAAUAAAUUUGUGAUCAAUUAUAUAUAUAUAUAUAUAUAUUAUAAGUGGAUACUUUAAAAAUAUUCUAAAUCCCGCACUGGAAUUAACUAAUCAUGAAAAUCACACCAUCCCCCACACCAUCAAAGAAAAAUUUGCAGUGAGACAAUAACGCGUCUUGUUUGGAAAACCGAACGCCAGAGCUUAUAAUUUCCAACUAACUAAAACUCUAUUAAAACAUGAAAUUCACUUUCAUAUGAAUCAUGUAUGGAGUAUGAAAUAACAUUGCAAGGUCAAGCAAGUUAAUUUUUCAAAAGAAUUUUAUUUCUAUUGGCCUAACCAAUUCAGGCCAAUAUCAGUGUCAUUAACAUUACUCUCACAAAAGUGGCUGACAUAAUUUUUUUUAAAAAAAAAUCAAUGAGGCAAGUACGCGUUUAAAACCAAGUCGAAGACAUUGUUUUUCACAAAGUACACUUUGUUCACGAGGUUUUAACUUUUGAGUUCUUGGAACCUUUAGAUCUCAUAAUCGAAUUUCAUCAUAUAUGAUUUAAGCCAACUUUUGCAUUGUUUUAGAUUGAUUUGUUAAUUUAUUAAUUUUUGUCUGUGAAUGUACUAUUUAUAUAUUAGUUUUUGGUGCAUUCAUGAUGUAAAUGUAAUUUUAUCUUUAAAAUUUUAAUUUAAGAAAUAAUUUUUUAAUAUUAUUAUAAUAGUGAUAUAUACUAAUAAUUUAAUUUCAAUUUUGAUAUUAAAUGAGUAAAAUUUUAUAACUUUCGAUAAAAUUUUGAUUUGGAUUAAUAUCAUGAAUGGGCUCUAAAAUAUGAUAUUGAACUUUAAAAAUUUUAAUUAGUUUUAAGCUUGUGCAAUGCAUGGGUAAUAAUCAUAUAUAUAAAAAAUUUAACAAUAAUAUAAUUAAUAUAUUAAAAAAUAUAUAAUAUAUUUAAUGAAUUUUAUAUAAAAAUAAAAAUUUUUAAAAUAUACAUAUAAAUAUAUAUUUUUAUUUUAAAUCAAAUAAGUAUUCUUGACACAAUUCUUUUUUUAAAAAUAUAUAACCUAUCUAAAAUAUUAUGAAAUGUUGCAUUAAAAUAUAAUUUUUUAAAAUAUUCUACAAAAUUUCAAUUAUAGAUAGUAUUAGAAAAUAAGCAAAUAAAUUGGUGGGCAGUACCUAGAAAAUUAAGUCAAUUCUUAUAAGUAAAUAAAGCAUAUUAUACAACUAUUUAGUGGAAAAAGCUAAUAAAUUUAUAUGAAAUGAAAGAAAAAAUAGAAAACAGAAUACAAAAGGCAAAAUGGUAAUAAAAACUUUUAAUUGAUCAGGUAAAAUUAUAAAAGUUACAACAAUAUACUUCGAGUCAAUUCAACAUUUUAUAAUUUAAGUGGUGAACAAAAUGAUAAAGAAAUUGAAUCAUAACAUUUAAUGAGAUAUGAUUGGAAAGGAAAAAAUUAUUUUUGAAUUAAAUCAAAAUUAUAAAUUUGGUUUGGAAAUGAGUUAAUAUAUAAAAAAGGUAAGAGUCAUAUUUCUAGUAAAUUACCAUGAUUUUAGGAUAAAUUGAUUUCAACUAUGCAUUUCAUACUUUUAAAAAAUAAAUAGUAAAAAAAGUAAGAUAAAUAGAUAUUAAAAAAAAUUAAUGUAAUUAAUUCGGUAAAAAAAUGAAUGUUUAAACACCAAUUUGCAUUUGGUAGUAAAUUUCUGUACAAUUAUAUGGACUAAAAUAUAAAAAUUGGAACAAUUAUGAAAUUAUCAAAACUAAAAAGAAAUAACAAAGAGUUUUAAUUAUAUAUUUUGGGUUGUAAAAUUAUUUUACUGAUUUGAGUUGAAGAAAUCCAAAAAGAGUGUGACUCCAGUGUGAAUCAAUAUUUUUGUAUUUCAAUCACAUCUUUAGCUACAUCUUUUAAUCCUAGAAAGAUUAUUAAAAUAACAAUACAAUAUAAUUGCAUAACAUAAAAAUAGUUGUUAUCUAAAAUAAAUUCAAUUAAAAAUUGAGAAAAUCAAUGAAAAGCAAUGAUUAUAGAUUUAAAAAUAUACUAUUAAUAAAUUCAUAAAAUGAGAUAACAUUAUGCUUAAAAUAUCAUAAUAAAAGUACUUUUUAAUUUGUUAUAAUAUUGUUUGUAUUUUAUUUUUUCUAAUAAAUAAUUAAACAAAAAAUAUUUGUAUUUUGAUAUUUGUAUUUUGUUUGUAAUAAGUAAUUAAACAAAAAACAUUUUGUUACUAAACUAUUAAAGGCUAAUGAUUGGCUGAUGUGAUUUUUUACAUCGGAUACCAUUCGUUACGUGACAUUAUUACAUCAUCUAAUAUAUCAUAUAGUAUUAUCAAUGUAACAAUUAAAAUUUCUAAAAAAUUCAAAUAUUAAAAUAAAGGAUAAAUAAUAAAUUUGGUCACUUGACUUUUCAAGAAUUUUUAUAUUAAUCAGGUAACUUUUAAAAAAUCACAAUUUAAUCAUCAACAUUUGUGAAAUUCAUUAAUAAUAUAGUUUCCAUUAUUAACAUCUUAUUACCGACAUGACAUUACAAUUUGGUCAUUAAUGUAUGUAAAAUUUGAUAUAAUAAAUUAUUUUAUUUUUUAUUAUUUGCAUUGAAAUAAAUAAAAAUAAUCUUUGAAUAAAUCUUUGAAUUUUGUAUAAAAUUAAAAUAAAUCAUCAAUAUUGCAUGGAAUUAAAAUUAUGAAAUUUUUUAUCAUAAAAUAUGUGACAAAAAUGAUUACUUCUUAUCGUGUGUAAUCUAAACUCAUAUGUAUUAAAACAAAAAAAGUUCCAACUUUGCCGUUGUUCAAUGAUGUUAAAUAAUCAAUGGACUUCAAGCUUAAUUAAAUACACGUAUAAGUUUUUUCAAAGGGAUUUGUUGGGCCAAAUUUUAAGGACUAAUUAAUUAAGGGCAGAAACCCAAUUCUUCAUUCAUUUUGCACUCCUCAACCCAUUCAAAAGGAUUAACACGAGAAUUAUAAUGUGAGAUAAUUAAUUAUUUGAUGAUUUUAAUAAUUAAUCUUAAUUGAAUAUUUUUAAUACAUGCAAAUAUAUCAAUAUAAUUAUAUUUUGUUAAUAAUAAUUCUAUCAAUUAUGAUAGUUCUAAUAAUGAAAUAAAAUUACAAUUGGAAAUUAAAUAUGUUGAAAACGGUUAUUCAUAUGCUAUGUAAUUUAUAUCACAAACAUAUUUGUUGGCCUAACUGAUAUAUUUUUAAAAGAUAUUUAUAUUUUAUUAAUAAUUAAUGUGUGCAUGUUAAAAUUCAUGUACAUUCUCACUGUUUAUUUUACCAAGUUUUUCAAUUUAAUUAUUAAUAAUAAAAAUCACAAUUUAUAUCAUACUUUGUCCAUAUUCAUUUGAAUGGUUAUAUAUAAGUAUAUUGUAUUUGUAAUAUAUAUUGUAUAGAUUGUAUAUAAGAUUUAAAAUCAAUCAUGUUUACAAUAUUUCUAAUAAUAGUUAAUAUUAAUUAAAUAUAUUUACUUUUAUUCACAUUAAUUAUAUUAUUGUUGAUAUGAUUUUCUUAUUUAUUCUUUUUUUAAGUGAAAUAUAAACUCUUACACAAACUUUUUACAUUAGAAUACAAAAAAUCCUUUUCUUAUAAUUGCGAUUAAUCAUGAUAAAUAUUGUUUAGUCUUUGGUGCACAAAAAACAAAGGAAAAAAGAAAAGAUAUUGAUUGGUUCAUGUCUUAAUGAUUCGAUUAGGAAUUUUGGAGGAAACCACGAGGAUGGAACAUAAUUUUUAAUUUGUUGGUGCAAUUGUGGAAUGCUAUGGAAUUUGACAUGAUUUGAUGGAAAAAAAUUAUUUAUCCAAAAUCCACCCAAUGGCGAUUAUUCUCUAAAGUGCUCAUUUGGAGUAAGGUGUUAGUCAAAUAUAUAUCAUAGGAAAUAAAAACUUUUUAUGGCUAUCGUUUUUUUUUUUUAAUUAAAAAAGAUUAUCUCUAUUUUUUAAGUAAAAAAUAAAACAUUAAUCAAUAAAUCAAAUAUUCGUAUGCUUCAUAUUAUAACUAAUAAAGCUAUCAUAAAAUCAAAAUAUUAUAUAAUUAAUAUGAAUUAACAAAUUAAGAUGCAUAUUAGUAAAAUUUUAAAAAUGAAUGAUUUUUUCUGGAUUGACGGUAACUCAAGGACACAUCUAAUUGCAUUCAGAUUGCAAAACAAAAGAAGGAUAAGAGAAAAACAACAUGCAUGAGCAUCAAUAGUCAAUUCCACAAUUCUAGGCUUGACAAGUCAAGUUCUCUUUUCUCUCUCUCUCUCUAAUUAUUACUAAAUUCCAAUUCUUAUAUCUGAAGACAACUUGAAUGUGUGGAAACUCAUUCAAUGUUUUAUAUGUAUUAUAAAUGGAUACUUAAAAAAAAUGUUAAAUCUCGCAUUAGAAUUAUCUAAUCAUGAAAAUCACACGAUCCCCCACACCAUCAAGGAAAAAUUUGCAAAACGACGAUAACGCGUCUUGUUUAUUUAUGACGCUUUAUUUCUACUAGAGAAAAAACUACCUACAAAAUGACCAGUGAUUGAAACGUAGCAUGUCUUCAUAACUUCAUCUAUUAAUUAUGGAUCAGUGGCUCUAUCAGAACAUUUGGCACAUCAAUGUGAAUAUUGGCUAUUUAGUUAUGACGCUUCAUUUCUAUUAGAUAGAGAGUAAGUUACCGAAAGGAUUCACUUGAAACUAGAGAUCUCCUCUAUUACCUGAUACAAAUUUUCUGUCCCACCUUGGAUGGUUUUCACUUUCAAAUACAAAGGUCAUUUUUUGUAAGAAACAGAUAAGCUGAAUAAGCUUUAACUCAGAAAUCAUAUCCUUUUCUGAACUUUAUUCUGGCAAUCCAUGCUUUCUUUUCCUAGUAUCUUCUCAAAUCAUUGGCCUGAAAAUUCAAACAAUGAAGUUACUUCAUUUAUUAGAAACCAUCAAGUUUUUUAUAUGCAUAAACUCAAUUUGACCGGAAUAGGGGAUGAGAAUAAGGAAAAGAAAAUCAUGAGAAAAUUACUGGAUGCACAUUUUCAAAACAAAGAUUUUACCACUAUAUUUUCUAAAGAUAAAAUUAAAUUAAUUAAACAAGUUCACAUAACAGUUUAAGAAUAGCUUUCACAACCCUUUCAAGUUGUUAAAAGUUUCUUUGUAUUGCACUCGUGUUUUUGUUUAGUCAAGGUCUAUUUGACAUGGAUAUCAAUCAUAUAGCAAUAGAGCUUACAACAAACCAUUUGUUUUUGUCUAUAUGGGAGUGCAGAAACAGAGAAACAAAAGAUGAUAUCGGAUUAAAGUUGAUGAAAAUAAUAAAAGAAAGAUUUCAAACUUUCUCGCUCUAGAGUUGUUAGGGACAAUAAAAUACCAUCGAAGUUAGUUUGGAAUUGUCGAGCUUGAUACCUGGAACUGGAAGCUUUGUUCUUUUCUUUUCAGUUUUUUUUUUUCCUCUGGAAUUGGAACCGGGAGUGUUUUAUUUUUCUUUAAAGAUGUAACUUUUAGUUUUGGCAGUUAAAGUGGUAGGUAUAGUAAUUGUUGUACAUGUCAUGGCUUGCAUCAGAUUCUUGCACUGCAAAUAGUUGAGUUGAAUCAUUGAUAAUUGUUGAUGUAAUUCCUGGUCUGGUAGUCGAAAGUCUUACUGGAGGUUGAGAAGAGAGUAUGAGUGACCUGUCACAGAGUAGAAAGUCAGGUGUGCCAAAGAUGUUAUUUUGAAGCAUGCUUUGAUACUCAAGUUAAGAUAGUAAGAUACACCGGAAGCAAGGAAAUGAAAGAGAGCAGGAAGUAGUUAUAGAGAGUAACAAGAGUUGAGCAGUGAAUCACCUGACUGGUCUGGUUCUACCUUUUAUACCUCCUGGUUGAUGACAUGGCUAAUUGGGCUUCCAUGCGUAAGACCUACUAUGUGGCUACUAACAUGACCACUUAGUAUAACAAUAAUGAAGAGCUUAAAAGAUAAUAAGAUUUUCAUUAAGAAUUUUUUUUGAAUAUAUAAUUUUUAUUAAUCUAACGAAAGGAGUAGACCAGCUACAAGUAAACAAUAAGCUACAAAAACGUUACAAAUGUCCUAGAAUAAGCAAAUAAAGCAAACUAAACAAAACAAAUAUGACUUUUGCAAAGUAAUCAAACUAAACAACAUUAAGGAACUAGUCCCCAAUUCAGACACAAUUUUUUUUUUUUUUUUUUGCUAAGCCAGAAAUUUAUUAAUAAAAACAGAAUUACACAAUAGGGUGAACAGCAGAACCCUAUAACUCAGCAGUAAAACACCAUCUUAUAGACAGAACAGAAGACAAGCACAAUACAACCAGACAUACUGCCAUUUAUCUUAGGCGAUCAAAACAGAAAGAACUGAGACACAAGUACCGUAACACCAGGACAAAAACAUUCAGACACAAUUUCUGUUGUGUAAGAGAAAGAGUGGAACAGGAGACUGCAAUCCUGUCAUUGAAUCUAAACCAAAAGGAAUUUCUGAUAGCCGAAACAACAGCUUCUAUAUCUCUGGAUGGCCUGCCAAACAUCCUUUGCUUGUGCUCCUGCCAAAUAACACACACAUAUGAGCAUCCGAAGCCAAUCUAAUUAAGGACAAUAGAUGCCAAAGCUUUGCUUUGCUCUUAAGAUGGCUUACAGACCAAUAUAACUCAAAAUACCAGUCACCCACAUGUUUUGUACAAGUUACUAACUUGGAAACUCAUGAUUGUCAUUUGUAAAAUGAGGUUAGGAAAUUCAAAAGACAUAUCCUAGUUUGCGGGCAAUUUUUGGUUUUAGUUUUAAAAGCAAUGCCAAGUUUAAAAAGGGAAUGAGAUGCCCAAAGUUGAAACCUUCUUGAAUUAAAUUUCGAAUGCAUUUACUUUAGUGUAGAUAUAGAUAUCACACUUAUAAUGCAAGAGAGUAUUUAAAUAAUUUUAUUAGUUUAGGCAAUUAACUACAGCUCAAAGAAUCAACAAGAAAACUUUUGAGUUAUUAAGUAUUAGAAUGCUUACCAAAUGACUUUGAAACUUGACUUUUGAUAGAGUCACGUAGAAGAUCUUCUCCAUUUUCGAUUCCGAUUCCAUGGAAACCUAUCCAUCCAUUUGUUUCCCAUUUCAUUCAGCACUGUAUAUCCAAUAGAUAACCCAAUCACCAAACCACAUCCAUACCCAAACAAUACGAUUUUCCAAACAGAUAUACCAGCUCCCCAUGAAUCUUCAUCUUUCUUAGGGGUUGGCAUUCCAAGACCAACUUCAUUGCAUUUCAUUGUCAAAGGUGGCCCACACAAUCUUGGGUUCCCUUUGUAAGAAUCGUUUGAAAAUGUAUCGAAUUGGUAGCUUUGUGGUAUGCUUCCUUCAAGUUGGUUGUAAGAGAGAUUCAAUACUUCAAGAAAAGUUAGGCUUGUAAGCUGUGGAGGAAUCUUUCAGGAGAGUUUGUUCUGAGAGAGGUCCAACGAUUCAAGCUCAGUUAAAUUUCCAAGUACUAAGGGAAUUGGGCCAAUGAAGCUGUUGUAGGACAGGUUUAGCAUUUUGAGUGACUUGAGGUUUUGUAUUUCUUCCCGUAUUCUCCCAUGGAAACUAUUAUUGGAAAGGUCAAGACAAGCAAAGAUUGUUAAGAUUUUCUCAUAAAAAAUUACAAACCCUUUAUUCACAAUUGUCACAGAGUCCUGUUAGUAAUAAUCUCCAAUAUAAUCUGGCUUAGCUUUAUUGCCAUCAAUCAUCAUCUUCAUUGCCUUCAAAGAUUGAAAAAAUCCAAUAGGUAACUCACCUGAAAAGUUAUUAGAAGCAAUCAAUCAUCAUCUUCAUUGCCUUCAAAGAUUGAAAAAAUCAAAUAAGUAACUCACCUGAAAAGUUAUUAGAAGCAAGGUCCAAUAUGUGUAACUCUGGAAAAACAGUUUCAUCCUUAGAAAUUUUAAUCGGACCAUAAAAUCUAUUUGCUCUUAGUACAAGAACCUUCAAAGAAGGCAAUUUCACCAACCAAAAAGGAAAUGUGUCUUGUAUCAUAUUUUUUCCAAAAUCCAGAACUUCAAGGCUUUUGCAAUAGGCUAAUGACCUCGGCAAAUUUCCUUCCAAUUUAUUCCCACCAAUUUUGAGUGACCUUAAUUGAGUGGCCUGAAAGAAAUCAAUUGGUAACUGACCAGAAAAAUUAUUGAAAGCAAUGUCUAGUACAUCCAAGUCUUGAAAAUUAUUUUUCACAUGUUUAAUUGGACCAUAAAACCUAUUUGCUCGCAAUAUAAGAACAACCAACCAAGGCAAUUUUCCCAACCAUGAAGGGAAUGUGUCAUACAGAUUAUUGUUUCCAAUGUUUAAAACUUGGAGUAUUGUGCAAUUGGCCAAUGACCUUGGCAACUUCCCUUCCAAUUUAUUAUCAUUGAGUUGAAGCAAAUUUAAUUGGGUUGCUUUUGCAAAAUCUGGCAUGCUGCCACUGAAAUUAUUUUUUUGUAGAUCCAAAUAACUGAGAGAACUGAUAUUGCCCAAGCAACUUGGGAUUGGCCCGCUUAAUUUGUUAUAGGAUGCAUUAAAUCUCCAAAGAUUACUCAAAUUGCAAACAGGUCUUGGUAAGGAGUCUUGUGAAGAGUUUAGAGAUUGGUUUAGUGAAAAUUGGUCCAAAGAUGAGAGAGAAUUGUUAGAAAGAUCUAGAUAUCUCAAACUUUUCUUCCACACCCAGUUUGGUACUGCACCACUUAUUUUGUUAUUUGAAAGGUCAAGAUCUUCUAAACUAUUUUGACUCUUUAAAAGCUCUGGAAACAUACUUAGGUUACAGAAUCGUAAACGCAAGUAACUCAACAUUGGAAAAGAGGAGUUUGCAUCACCAAAAGGAAACUCUGUUGAAAAAUCAAUUGCAUUAAAAGAAAGGUCUAACCCUACAAGGGUGGUCUUCCAUAACCAAUUAGGCACAAAACCAUGGAUUUGGUUGUUAGAAAGACCUAGAAAAACCAACUUGUCUUGAGUUUUGAUGAAUUCUGGAAAUUCAAUAAGGUUACAUGAAUUUAGGUCUAGCUCCUCUAAUUGGGGAAAAGCAAGGCUUGUGAUGUUGCUUUCAAUUGAUAAGCUCGUAUUGGGAAGGUCAAGAAGCCCUAAGUUCUUGAGUUGGGAGAACAUGUCAAGCUUCAUGAAACUAAAGCUAUUGUAGCCUAAAGACAGUGUUUCAAUCAAGGAGGAAGAUGCAUUGAGAAACUCAUCAAUUGCACCAAACAAUUGAUUUCCACUAAGAUCCAAGGCCUGCAAUGAUGGGAGAGUAAAUAAAGAAGAAUGUAUUGAUCCAGAGAGGUAGUUCCCCGAUAAAAAAAGAUAUGCAAGAUUUGGACCUCCGGAUCUAUGAAAUGCAGGGAUAAAACCAUGGAAAUUGUUAUAGGAUAGAUCCAGUUUCACAAGGUUAGUAGGAUUUGCAGUUGAUGAUGGAAUUUGUCCAAAGAACUUGCAACCACUGAGAUCUAAAUUUGUCAAGAACUUGAGAUUACCAAUUGUUUCUGGCAGUUUUCCACUGAAAUUUGUAUAAGAAAUCGUUAAGAUCCGUAAAGCAUUGUUUAAUGGAAAUUCUGGCAACUGACCUCCAAGAGCAUAAUUAUCUGAAAUGUCAAUGCUUUCUAUUUUUGGCAACAGAAAAAUUUCUGUUGGAAAAUGCCCACUCAAAUUGCAAUUCACUAAACUGAGAGAAACCAAAUGAGAAGAAAUUUCCAAGAAAUUGGAAGGCAAAUAAGAGAUCGGAUUCCCACCAAGGAAAAGUUUGGAAAGAAAAGGAAGUUUUGAGAGUGAAGAACAAAAUGGCCCAGUCAAACCACAAUUCAACAGACUUAACACAUGCAGGUUGGGAAGUACUAUGGAUGUGGCUUCACACCAUUUAGUACUUUGAGUUGAAAUGUUCACACUAUCCAAGUAGAGCUCUGUAAGAGGUCUCAAAUUUUGGAUUAAUGUCUUGAAGUUUGGGUUUUCUAGUUUCAGAGGUUGAUAAAGGUUGAAAGGAACAUCGUACCAGAAAUUUGGAUCAAGAAUUUGGUAAUUGUGUAGAUAGCAAGAAUCUUGAUGAGAUAGAUCAAGGGAGACUAACCUUGUUAAAUAUGAAAUCCCCACUGGAAUUUGGCCAUGGAAACCUGAGUUUGAAAGAUUAAGAUGAGUUAAAUUUGGGAGUCUAUCAAACUCAUAUUGAAACAGAGUGGUAUUAAAAUUGUUUGCAGCAAGAUUAAGGCGUUGAAGAUGAUGGAGAUUGAAAAUGAAGUGAAGGCUUCCUGAAAGAUUUUUGUAACUGAGAUCAAUCCCAAUCACAUGACCAAGAGCAUCGCAUGUAAUUCCUUUCCAAGCGCAACAAUCAGUGUUGAGAUCCCAAAGCUUAACUUUGGAAGAGAAAGUAAAAUUGGGGGCAUAGUAAACAUCAUGGUGCAGUUGCAACAGAACAGCUCUCUGGUCAUCAAGGCAUUGGUUUUGGAGAUAAGCAUGACAAAGGGAAAAAGAUAGCACAAGAGAUGAGAAGCAUGAGAAGAGAAAUAAGGCAGGCAAAAAGAGUGGAAUUAGGAUAUGAAGAUUCUUCAUGUUUUAUUAGCUCUCUAAAAAAAAUGAAAGAAGGAUUGAGGUGUUUGAGAUUUGCAUACACAAUAUUUAUAGACAAGUACUUCACAUUACGUACUGUUAUUGCAACUAUCUUCAGUCCUUGAUCUUAAGAGAUAGGUUCAAAUGCAUUUUUUCAACCACGUGUUUGUACAAAUCAUGAGUUUGAGCUUUUUUUUCUUUAAGAGUUGAAUCAAAAUAGAUGGAAGACAGAUAUAUUCAUCGUUUGUCCUUUUUGAAUUUUAAAGAAUGAAUAAUGGGUUUCAAUGGUGAUAAGGCUCCUAGUUUUGCUUUUGUAAACUAAUAUUUAUUACAUCUAUACGUAAUUAUACUUAUAUUUUCAAGUGUCUUUUUUUAUUAUUAUUGUUUACAUCAGGAGGAUAAAACCCUAGUACAAGUAUAUUCCAAAAUCAUUUUGAUUUUUUAUUACAUUUGUAUAUUUAAAACCUCAAAUAUAAAUUUUAUAUAGUAAAUUUAUGUUUUUAAUAUAAAUACGCUCAUAAUAAAUAGAAAUCAGAAACGCCAACAAAAUUUUAAAAAAAAUAAAAAGAACAUUAGAAAAAUUUGUCUAUAAUAUCAAAUACACUCAUACUUUAUAUUGUUUUAAACUGAAUAAAUUUUAUAAUCGAAAAAAAAAAAAAGAAAUUAACCAGCGAGAUUAGAUAAUUUUCUCUCUUUUUAAUCCUCCAGUUAAUUGAUGCUUUUGGUUUUUAUUUUUUAAUAAAUGAAUUGAAAACAAAAAAGAAAUAGUAAAAGAAAAAAAUAUACAAACCAAAUGAAAUCUAAAUUAUAUUUUCAGCUGAAUCUCAAGAAUGUAAUAAUUAAUCAUCUUAAAUAAUUAGCAAUUAUUCACUUGGUGGAAUCUUAUCUAUAAGAUUUGAGAAAGUACAAUGAAAGAGUCAAAAUGUUGAUCGUGGUAUUCAAUAGAUACCUAAAUUUUCAAUUAUUUGGAAAUAAUAGGAUCUACAUAUCCAAUUAUUUGAAAAUAAUAGUAUCAAAGAAAAAGUUUAGGAUUUGAAAAUUGUCUUUUUUUUUUUUAAAGUCCUUGAAUCAAUGGAAAUUAUACUUUAUAGAGAUCCCUUUUUUAAUGUUAAAGCUUCUAGAUGUGUAUUUCUAAUAAGUUAUAUAAAUUACUGAUUUUUCAUAUCCGGAUGUAGAGAAAAAAACGAUAGUGUAUCUAGAAUCAUCCAUCAUAAAAUUAUACUUUAUAAAAAAAAUUGAUUUUUUAUUUUGGACUAAAAAAAAAUGAUAGUAUGAGAUUUUUUUAUUGGUUUUUAAUUUUCUAUUUGCUUUAUACUUUUAAGUCUUCUCAUCAUGCCAAUGUUUAAGUCUUCUUACCCCAACAUUACUCUAUGAAAAAUAAUCUUCUUAGCAAUUUGUUUAAGUCAAGUUUGUCAUUUAAAAAAGACAAAACAAACAACAAUUUUCUCAAUUGAAAUUGUCUUUUGUCUUUUAGUUAAAUUGACAUACUGAGACUGGAUUUUAAGUAUAUUAAUUAUUAUUUUUAUAUUUUGGUCUUUUUAAUAACUUAGACUAAAGCAAUUGCCAAUAUUAUUAUUUUUGUGAAGUAAAGAUGAGGCAAAAAGACUAACACAUUUGCAUGCUUAAUGCCAAGACUAAGUAUAAAGCAAAGAUUAAGACUUCAACCAAUACAUUACCAUAGUAUCUAUCAUUUUCUUUCUCAUUCCACCAUUAUAAAAUCACAAUUUCCAAAAUAAACAAGUUUAAGAAGUGAGGGAAAGAAUGUGUUCUUUAGAUUUUUUUUUCAAACUUUUCAGAAAAAAUAAAACAUAGAUUUUUAAUUUGUUGAUUUUUUUUGGCCAAUCAAUUUGUUGAUUAAACAAUUUUUUCUCAUUAUUUUGUUCCUAAUGUACUAUUAGAUAUCAUGGCAUGUGCAUUUUUUAUUGCUUCAAUUUUUUAUGAUUAAUAUAUUUUAAAGAGAUCCUCUAGUUUAAAAUUUCAAUGAUCCAAUAACCAUGUAGUCUAUUAGUAAAAUACUAAACUUUUAGUUUCAAUAGUUUAAAGUUCAAAUUUUGACAAUCUCACAUAAAAAAAAAAAAAAAACAAUCUUCUAGUUUCACAAAUUUCAUGCAUACGAGAUAAUUUUUAUAUAUUUCAAUUUCUUCACAUACAAUUAAUAGAGUUUUUAAAUUUUAUAAAUGAUAUUAGCAUCUCAUACUUUUGUAACAUAUUUUCUUUUAACUAUUUUUUUCCAAACCAAAUUUAUCUUUUUUAACUUAUCAGAAAUGAAAAUCUGGUAAGUUAUAUAACUUAUUAGAAAUAUAUAUUCAAAAGUUUAAAAAUUAAAAUGAGAUGGGUAAAUAAGUAAUAUCACUUAAAAAAUUUAAAAAAAAAAGUAAAUGUAGAGAAAAAAUUAUGGUGUAUUUAGAAUCACCCAUCACAAAAUUAUAUUUUAUAAAAAAAAUUGAUAUUCUAAUUUUGGAAUCACAAAGAAAAUGAUAGUAUGAGAUUUUUUAUUGGUAUUUAGUCUUUUCUUUGCUUUAUACUUUUAAGUCUUCCCAUCAUGCAAAUAUUUAAGUUUUCUUUCCCAUUAUUACUCUGUGAAAAAUAAUAUUCUUAGUAAUUUGCUUAAGUCAAGUCUGCUUUAAAAAAAAAAAAAAACAUAGCACUUUUCUCAAAGGAGGUUGUCUUUCGUCUUCCUGUUAAAUUGGCAGACUGAAAAUGGAUUUUACGUAUAUUAAUUAUUAUUAUUAUUAUAUUUUAGUCUUUUUCAUGACUUAGAUUGGAGCAAUUGCUAAGAUUAUUAUUUUUGUAAAGUAAAGAUGGGAAAAAAAAACUAACACAUUUGCAUGCUUGUUGCCAAAACAAAGUAUAAAGCAAAGUCUUAAACUUAAACAAACACAUUCCUAUAGUGUCUAUCAUUUUGUUUCUUAUUCCACCAUUAAAAAAUUACAAUUUCCAAAAUAGACAAGUUUGAUAAGUGAGAAUGAAUAUGUUCUUUAGAUUUUUUUUUUCAAACUUUUCAGCAAAAAUAAAACACAAGUUUUUAAUUUGUUGAUUUUUUUGGCCAAUCAAUUUGUUGAUUAACGAGCUUCUUCUUCAUGCUUUUGUUCCUAAUGUACUAUUUGAAUUCAGAGUAUGUGCAUUUUUUUUAUUUUUUUAGUUGUUAUUGUUAAUAUAAUUUAAAUGGAUCCUCUUAUUUAAAAAUUCAAUGAGCCAGUAACCAUAUAAUCUAUUAAUAAAAUGCUUAACUCUUAGUUUUAAUAGUUUAAAGUUCAAACCCUAGCAACCUCAUAUAAAAAAAAAUCUGCUAAUUUAAAAAAUUUCUUGUAUGUGAGAUAAUUUAUAUAGAGUUUUUAAAUUUUAUAAACAUUAUUAAAUCCUAUACUUUCUAUAAGAUAUUUUCUCUUAACUAUUUUUUUUCAAACCUAAAUGUAACCUUUUUCAAUUUAUUGGAUAUGAAAAUCUAACAAGUUUUAUAACUUAAGAAAUGCAUAUCUAGAAGCUUUAAAAUUAAAAUGAGAUGAGUAGAUAAGUAAUUUUGCUUAAAAAUUAAAAGAAAAAAGAGUGGACGUAAAGAAAAAUAUAAUUGUGUAUUCAGAAUCAUCCAUCACAAAAUUAUAAUUUGUGAAAAAAUUUGAUAUUCUAAUUUUGGACUCACAAAAAAAUGAUAGGAUGAGAUUUCUUUAUUGGUAUUUAGUCUUUUCUUUACUUUAUACUCUUAAGCCUUCCCAUCAUGCAAAUGUCUAAGUCUUCUUGCCCCAUCAUUAUUAUGUAAAAAAUAAUCUUUUUAGCAAUUUACUUAAGUCAAGUCCGUCUCUUAAAAAAUAUAAAAAAAAUUACAAUUUUUUCAAUGGUGGUUGUCUUUUGUUUUUUAGUUAAAUUAGCAGACUACAAAAGGAUUUUAAGUAUAUUAAUUAUUAUUGUUAUAUUUUAGUCUUUUUAAUGAUUUAAACUGAAGCAAUUGCUAAAAUUAUUAUUUUUGUAAAGUAAAGAUGGGGGCAAAAAAUUAACACAUUUGCAUGUUUGAUGUCAAGACUAAGUCUAAAGCAAAGACUAUGAUUUAGAUCAAUGCAUUCCCAUAGUAUCUAUCAUUUUCUUUCUUAUUCCACCAUUAUAAAAUCAAAAUUUUCAAAAUACAAGUUACAAGAGGAAUAAUGUGUUCUUUAAUUUUUUUUCAAACUUUCAACAAAAAUAAAAGACAAGUUUUAAUAUUUGAUUUAUUUUUAUUUGCCAAUCAAUUUGAAUUAAGAAUUCUUUCUCAUGCUUUUUGUUCCUAAUGUACUAUUAAUUCAUGUAUUGCAUUUUUUAUAUAUAUUUUAUUGUAAUAAUAUUAAAUAAGAUUCUCUUAUUUAAAAUUAAAGAAAAAUAUCAUGUAUUUUAGUAAAAUAUAAACUCUUAAUUUCAAUAUUUAAAUUCAAAUCCUAAUAUUCACAUAAAAAUAAAAAGUACAAUUUUCUAUAUUCAAAAUUUUCAUUAUACAAGAUAAUUAUAUAUAUAUUAAAUUUGAUUUCAUCAUAUAUGAUUAAUUUAAUUUUAAAUUUUAUUAAAUGGCAUUAGAAUAUCAUACUUUAUGUAAGAUAUUUUUCUUUAACUAUUUUUUUUCCAAAACUAAAUGUAACUUUUAACUUGCCAUAUGAAAAUCCAGUAAGUUAUAUCUAGAUGCUUUAAAAUUAAAAUAAGAUGGGUAAAUAAGUAAUUUCACUUAAAAAUUAAAUAAAAAAUGAUAUAGAGAAAAAAAUGAUGAUAUAUUUAGAAUCAUCCAUCUCAAAAUUAUACUUUAUAAAAAAAUUGAUAUUUUAAUUUUGGACUCAAAAAAAUGAUAGUAUGAGAUCUUUUUAUUGGUAUUUAAUCUUUUCCUUGUUUUAUACUUUUAAGUCUUCCCAUCAUGCAAAUGUCUAAAUCUUCUUGCCCCAUCAUUACUAUGUGAAAAUAAUCUUCUUAUCAAUUUGCUUAAGUCAAGUCUGCCUUUUAAAAAAGACAAAAAAAAAAAAAAAUUUUCUUAAUGAAAGUUGUCUUUUGUCUUCUAGUUAAAUUGACACACAAGGAAUGGAUUUUAAGUAUAUUAAUUAUUAUUUUUAUAUUUUAGUCCUUUUAAUGACUUAGAUUGAAGCAACUGCUAAAAUUAUUUUUGUGAAGUAAAGAUGGGGGCAAAAUGAUUGACACAUUUGCAUGCUUGAUGCCAAAACUAAGUAUAGAGCAAAGACUAACACUUUGACCAAUGCAUUCCCAUAGUAUCUAUCAUUUUCUUUCUUAUUCCACCAUUAUAAAAUCACAAUUUUCAAAAUAGACAAGUUUGAAAAGUGAGAAUGAAUAUAUUCUGUAGAUUUUUUUUUCAAACCUUUUAGCAAAAAUAAAAGCACGAGUUUUUAAUUUGUUGAUUUUUUUUGGCCAAUCAAUUUUUUGAUUAAGCAACUUCUUUCUCAUGCUUUUGUUCCUAGUGUACUAUUAGAUUUCAUGGUAUGUUCAUUUUUUUAGUUUUUUAUUGUUAAUAUAUUUUAAAGAUAUCCUAUAAUUUAAAAAUUCAAUAAGCUAAUAACCGUAUAGUCUAUUAGUAAAAUGCUAAACUCUUAGCUUCAGUAGUUUAAAAUUCAAAUCCUGACAAUCUCAUUAUAAAAAAAAGACAAUUUUCAAAUGAAAAAAUUCGAUGUAUACAAGAUAAUUUAUAUAUAUUUUAAUUUCUUCACAUAUGAUUAAUAGAGUUUUUAAAUUUUAUAAACAGUAUUAAAAUCUUAUACUUUUUAUAAGAUAUUUUCUCUUAACUAUUUUGUUUUCAAACUUAAAUGUAACUUUUUUCUAACUCACUGUAUAUGAAAAUUCUAUAAGUUAUAUAACUCAACAGAAAUGCAUAUUUAAAAGUUUUAAAAUAAAAACAAGAUGAGUAAAUAAGUAAUUUACUUUAAAAUUUUUUAAAAGGUGGAUGUAGAGAAAAAAUAAUGAUGUAUUAAGAAUCACCCACCACAAAAUUAUACUUUACAAAAAAAAUUGAUAUUCUAGUUUUGGACUAACAAAGAAAAUGAUAGUAUGAGAUUUUGUUUAUUGGUAUUUAGUCUUUUCUUUACUUAAUACUUUUUAAGUCUUCCCAUCAUGCAAAUGUCUAAGUCUUCUUGCCCCAUCAUUACUAUGUGAAAAGAAUCUUCUUAGCAAUUGGCUUAAGUCAAGUUUGCCUUUUAAAAAAGAUAAAAAAAGAAAAAAUCAACAAUUCUCUCAAUGAAAGUUGUCUUUUGUCUUUUAGUUAAAUUGGCACACAAAAGUGGAUUUUAAGUAUAUUAAUUAUUAUUGUUAUAUUUUAGUCUUUUUAAUGACUUAGACUGAAGCAACUGCUAAGAUUAUAUUUGUGAAGUAAAUAUAGGGGCAAAAAGACUGACACAUUCACAUGCUUAAUGUCAAAACUAAGUAUAGAGCAAAGACUAACACUUUGAACCAAUGCAUUCCCAUAGUAUCUAUCAUUUUCUUUCUUAUUCCACCAUUAUAAAAUCACAAUUUUCAAAAUAGACAAGUUUGAAAAGUGAGAAUGAAUAUAUUCUGUAGAUUUUUUUUUCAAACCUUUUAGCAAAAAUAAAAGCACGAGUUUUUAAUUUGUUGAUUUUUUUUGGCCAAUCAAUUUUUUGAUUAAGCAACUUCUUUCUCAUGCUUUUGUUCCUAGUGUACUAUUAGAUUUCAUGGUAUGUUCAUUUUUUUAGUUUUUUAUUGUUAAUAUAUUUUAAAGAUAUCCUAUAAUUUAAAAAUUCAAUAAGCUAAUAACCGUAUAGUCUAUUAGUAAAAUGCUAAACUCUUAGCUUCAGUAGUUUAAAAUUCAAAUCCUGACAAUCUCAUUAUAAAAAAAUAAAAAAAAAGAAAUUUUCAAAUGAAAAAAUUUCAUGUAUACAAGAUAAUUUAUAUUUAUUUUAAUUUCUUCACACAUGAUUAAUUGAGUUUUUAAAUUUAUAAAUAGUAUUAAAAUCUCAUACUUUUUAUAAGAUAUUUUCUCUUAAUUAUUUUUUUCAAACCUAAAUGUAACUUUUUAUAACUUAUUGGAUAUGAAAAUUUUGUAAAUUAUAUAACUCAUCAGAAAUGCAUAUUUAAAAAUUUUAAAAUCAAAACAGGAAGAAUAAAUAAGUAAUUUCACUUAAAAAAUUUUAAAAAAAGGUGGAUGUAGAGAAAAAAUGAUGGUGUAUUUAGAAUCACCCACCACAAAAUUAUACUUUACAAAAAAGAAAUUGAUAUUCUAAUUUUGGACUAACAAAGAAAAUGAUAGUAUGAGAAUUUUUUUUAUCGAUAUUUAGUCUUUUCCUUACUUUAUACUUUUAAGUCUUCCCAUAAUGCAAAUGUCCAAGUCUUCUUACCCCAUCAUUACUCUGUGAAAGAUAAUCUUUAUAGCAGUUUGCUUAAGUCAAGUCUAUCUUUUAAAAAAGACAAAAAAAAAAAAAGCAAUUUUCUUAUUGGUGGGCGUCUUUUGUCUUCUAAUUAAAUUGGCAGAUUAGGAAUGGAUUUUAAGCAUAUUAAUUAAUAUUAUUAUAUUUUAGUCUUUUCAAUGACUUAGACUGAAGCAAUUGCUAACGUUAUUAUUUUUUUUGAGGUAAAAAUAGGGGUGAAAGGAUUGACACAUUUGCAUGCUUGAUGCCAAGACUAAGUAAGAAGCAAAGAUUAUGAUUUAGACCCAUGGUUUCCGAUAGGAUCAAUCUUUUUCUUUCUCAUUCCACCAUUAUAAAAUAUCAAUUUCCAAAAUAGACAAGUUUGAGAAAUGGGAGUGAAUGUGUUCUUUAGAUUUUAUUUUUCAAACUUUUCAACAAAAAUAAAAGAUAGGUUUUUAAUUUUUUGAUUUUUUUUUUGCUAAUCAAUAUUUUGAUUAAGCAACUUUUUUCUCAUGCUUUUGUUCCUAAGUUACUAUUAGAUCUCAUGGUAUGUGCAUUUUUUUUAUUUUUUAGUUUUUUUUAUUAUUAAUAUAUUUUAAAAAGAUUCUUUGAUUUAAAAUUAAAUGAGCAAAUAACCAUGUAGUUUGUUAGUAAAAUGUUGAAUUCUUAAUUUCAGUAGUUUAAGUUCAAAUCCUGAUAACCUUACAUACAAAAAAAGGAUAAUUUUCUAAUUUCACAAAUUUCAGGUAUACAAGAUAAUUUAUAUAUAUUUCAAUUUCAUCAUAUAUGAUUAAUAGAGAUUUUAAAUUUUAUAAAUGGUAUUAGAAUCUCAUACUUUAUGCAAGAUAUUUUCUCUUAACUAUUUAUUUUCCAAACCUAAAUGUAACUUUUUUUUAACUUACUAGAUUUGAAAAUCCAAUAAGUUAUAUCUAGAUGCUUUAAAAUUAAAACGAGAUGGGUAAAUAAGUAAUUUCACUUAAAAAUUAAAAAAAUUAAUAUAGAGAAAAAAUGAUGAUAUAUUUAGAAACACCCAUCACAAAAUUAUGCUUUAUAAAAAAUUUGAUAUUUUCAUUUUGGACUCACGAAGAAAAUGAUAGUAUGAGAUCUUUUUAUUAGUAUUUAAUCUUUUCUUUGUUUUAUACUUUAAGUCUUCUCAUCAUGCAAAUGUCUAAGUCUUCUUGCCCCAUCAUUACUAUGUGAAAAGAAUCUUCUUAGCAAUUGGCUUAAGUCAAGUUUGCCUUUUAAAAAAGACAAAAAAGAAAAAAUCAAAACAUUUUCUCAAUGAAAGUUGUCUUUUGUCUUCUAGAUAAAUUGGCACACAAGGGAUGGAUUUUAAGUAUAUUAAUUAUUAUUGUUAUAUUUUAGUCUUUUUAAUGACUUAGAUUGAAGCAAUUGCUAAGAUUAUUUUUGUGAAGUAAAGAUGGGGGCAAAAAGAUCGUCUCAUUUGCAUGCUUGAUGCCAAAAUUAAGUAUAGAGCAAAGACUAAGACUUAGACCAAUACAUUCCCAUAGUAUCUAUCAUUUUCUUUCUUAUUCCACCAUUAUUAAAUCACAAUUUUCAAAAUAGACAAGUUAGAGAAGUGAGAAUGAAUAUAUUCUGUAGAUUUUUUUUUUCAAACCUUUCAGCAAAAGUAAAACACAAGUUUUUAAUUUGUUGAUUUUUUUUGGCCAAUCAAUUUGUUGAUUAAGCAACUUCUUUCUCAUGCUUUUGUUCCUAAUGUACUAUUAGAUUUCAUGGUGUGUGCAUUUUUUUAGUUUUUUAUUGUUAAUAUAUUUUAAAGAUAUCCUCUAAUUUAAAAAUUCAAUGAGGUAAUAACUAUAUAUUCUAUUAGUAAAAUGCUAAACUCUUAGUUUUAGUAUUUAAAAUUCAAAUCCUGACAAUCUCACAUAUUAAAAAAAAAAAGACAAUCUUCAAAUGAAAAAAUUUCAUGUAUAUGGGAUAAUUUAUAUAUAUAUAUAUAUUUUAAUUUCUUCACAUAUGAUUAAUAAAGUUUUUAAAUUUUUAAACAGUAUUAAAAUCUCAUACUUUUGUAAGAUAUUUUCUCUUAACUAUUUUUUUGCAAACCUAAAUGUAACUUUUUCUAACUUAUUGGAUAUAAAAAUUCUAUAAGUUAUAUAACUCAUCAGAAAUGCAUAUUUAGAAAUUUUAAAAUUAAAACAAGAUAAGUAAAUAAGUAAUUUCACUUAAAAAAUUUUUAACAAGGUGGAUGUAGAGAAAAAAUGAUGGUGUAUUUAGAAUCACCCAUCACAAAAUUAUACUUUACAAAAAAAAAUUGAUAUUCUAAUUUUGGACUAACAAAGAAAAUGAUAGUAUGAGAUUUUUUUUAUUGGUAUUUAGUCUUUUCUUUACUUUAUACUUUUAAGUAUUCUCAUCAUGCAAAUGUCUAAGUCUUCUUGCCCCAUCAUUACUCUAUGAAAAAUAAUCUUCUUAGCAGUUUGUUUAAGUCAAGUCUAUCUUUUAAAAAAGAUAAAAAAAUAGCAAUUUUCUCAAUAGUGGCUGUCUUUUGUCUUCCAAUUAAAUUGGCAGACCGAGAAUGAAUUUUAAGUAUAUUAAUUAAUAUAGUUAUAUUUUAGUCUUUUCAAUAACUUAGACUGAAGCAAUUGCUAACAUCAUUAUUUUUUUGAAGUAAAAAUGGGGGCGAAAAGAUUGACUCAUUUGCCUACUUGAUGCCAAGACUAAGUUUGAAGCAAGGACUAUGAUUUAGACCCAUGCAUUCCGAUAGGAUCUAUCUUUUUCUUUCCUAUUCCACCAUUAUAAAAUCAUAAUUUCAAAAUAGACAAGUUUGAGAAAAUGGGAAUGAAUGUGUUGUUUGGAUUUUUUUUUUCAAACUUUUCAGUAGAAAUAAAAGAUGGGUUUUUAAUUUGUUGAUUUUUUUGGCCAAUCAAUUUAUUGAUUAGGCAACUUGUUUCUUAUGCUUUUAUUCCUAAUGUAUUAUUAGAUUUCAUAGUAUGUGCAUUUUUUUUUUAGUUUUUUAUUGUUACUAUAUUUUAAAGUGAUGCACUGAUUUAAAAAUUCAAUGAGCCAAUAACCUUGUAAUUUGUUAGUAAAAUAUUGAAUUCUUAGUUUUAAUAGUUUAAAGGUCAAAUCUUGAUAACCUCAUAUACAAGAAAAAAAAAAAAAGACAAUCUUCUAUUUUCACAAAUUUCAUAUAUAUGAGAUAAUUUAUAUAUAUUUUGAUUUCUUUACAUAUGAUUAAUAGAGUUUUCAAAUUUUUUAAACAGUAUUAGAAUCUCAUACUUUCUAUAAGAUAUUUUCUCUUAACUAUUUUUUUUCCAAACCUAAAUAUAUCUUUUUUAACUUACCACAUAUGAAAAUUUGAAAAUGUUAUAUAACUUAUCAGAAAUGCAUAUUUAGAAGUUUUAAAAUUAAAAUGAGAUGGGUAAAUAAAUAAUUUCACUCAAAAACUUUUAAAAAUUGGAUGCAGAGAAAAAAAAUAAUGAUGUAUUUUGAAUCACCCAUCAUAAAAUUAUAGUUUAUAAAAAAAUUGAUAUUCUAAUUUUGGACUCACUAAGAAAAUGAUAGUAUGAGAUUUUUUUAUUGGUAUUUGGUCUUUUCUUUGCUUUAUACUUUUAAGUCUUCCAAUCAUGCAAAUGUUUAAGUUUUCUUACCAUAUCAUUACUCUAUUAAAAAUAAUCUUUUUAGCAGUUUGCUUAAGUCAGCUUUGUGUUUUAAAAAACACAAAAAUAUAUAUAUGUAACAAUUUUCUCAAUGAAAGUUAUCUUUUGUCUUCCAAUUAAAUUGGCACAUAGAGAAUGGAUUUUAAGUAUAUUAAUUAUUAGUGUUAUAUUUUAGUCUUGUUAAUGACUUAGACUAAAGCAACUGCCAAAAUUAUUAUUUUUGUAAAGUAAAGAUGGGGGCAAAAAGAUUAAUACAUUUGCAUGCUUGAUGCCAAAACUAAGUAUAAAGCAAAGACUAAGACUUAAACCAAUACAUUCCCAUAGUAUCUAUCAUUUUCUUUUUUGUUCCACCAUUAUAAAAUCACAAUUCUAAAAUAGACAAGUUUGAGAAGUGGGAAUGAAUGCAAAACUCUUAGUUUCAAUAGUUUAAGUUUAAAUCCUAACAACCUCACAUAAAAAAAAAAGACAAUCUUCUUCUUUUGCAAAUUUCAUGUAUAUGAAAUAAUUUUUAUAUAUUUUGAUUUCUUCACAUAUGUUUAAUAGAGCAUUUAAAUUUUAUAAACAUUAUUAAAAAAUUAUCACAUAUCUUAAUUUUUUUAUAUAAUUUUUUAAUAUAUUUGUAAAAGGGUUUGUGAUAGCCCUCUAACUUGUAUAAUCUAAAAAUUUCGCUAACUGAUUGCAUUUUCUAAGUUACAUGAUUCAACAAAAACUAACCAAGUCAAUUAAUAAUUUAAUUGUUUGAUAAAUUUGAAUGUAAAAUGAAUGAAAAUUUUGCAACCAAUAAGGAAUAUGCUUUUAUUCCUAGAAUCAAACCAGAUGAAAUAGAUGGAGGUGAAGAAUGAACUAUUUUUUGGCAAGAUAUCACUAAUAUCUGGAUUUCUUAAGCAUCAUAACAUCAAGAAAAUCUGACUAGAACAACUUCACAUCAUGGCAAAAUUUCAAAGAAAAACCACUAUCUUCCCAAUUUCAUUCCUUCUCUCUCUCUCCCAAAAUUACAAAUUAUCUGCAUCAAGUCGCAUAUUUACAUAAGAUGUUGGCACAUAUUUUUCCAAAAAAAAAAAAAUAAGUUGUAGAAUGAAGUCAACAAGUAAAACCAACCCUGAAACCUGAAAUAGGCUUUGAAGAAAAAGAAAAGUCCGCAUAUUUCCACCUCUAUGUUGUUUGAGAGUGUUCAAUGUCCAACAUUAUUAACAUCGGCACCACCUCUGUAUUUCAUCCUCCAAAAAUCCGAAAAUCUUUAGACAAGUAGGCUUCGAGUGAAUCUGUUAGCCAUGAUUUGCGUUAACAAACCUAACAUUCACUGCUGUUGUUAGCUGCCAUAUUCCAAGCAAACUCGUUACAUACUGGCAUUUCUAGAACAUGGUCAAAGAGUCCGGUAAGUUCCCUAUGAACAUGAAUAAAACAUAUAUAUUUUACUAGAAAGGAAAAGCAAAAGGUAAAAAAUAUAUAUAUCAUAAUUGAUCUAAAACAGAAAAAAUAAUUAAAAUAUAAAAUCAGUUAUAACACAAUUAGUAUAUAUAGAAGUAGAAUCAUGUAGUUAAUCAUAAAAAAUUUGCAUAUUUUGUGUAUAACUCUUCAAAAUUUUAUUGCUUAUGGAAAAGCAAUUUUUUCUUUUUUGCUUUUCGAAGUAAAAAGCAAAUAGCAAAAAACUAAUCAAACAGACUCUAAAUAAGGCAAAACAACUAAAAACUUCGUAUGGUUCGCUAAUGCAUUAAUUUUGCACAAAUAAUUUUAUGUUCUCGGUAAUUCUUUUUUUUAGUUUUAUUUGUUUCUGGUUAUUAAGUUGUACUCUAAUUUUAUUGAAUUUAAUUUUUAGAAUUUUUUUAGAAAUGAUUUAUGCAUGUACAGUACUUGAAAUUUACAUUUUAUUUUGCAAUCACGAUUUUUUAUAGAAACAUCGUAUGCAGCAUAUUUUUUAAACCUAUGUUUAUGUAUACCAUAUACAUACAUACAUACAUCCAUACAUCCAUAUACACUAAAAUAAGUGCUAUUUUUAUCUCUCCCAAACCCCCUCUCCCUCUAAAAAAGUGGGUAAAACAAGGCUUACACAAGAAAUCAAAACUUUAAUAAAACUCUUAACACUUGAAAGUUGAACCUAAAAUUUAACAGCUUGAACAUAGUGUUAAGUAUGCUUGUAAUCCACUAUAACAACCAAGGCUCUAAAAUAAAAUUUCAAAGGCUCAAGAGGAAGGAGAGGAAUAGUGGGGGCAAAGGGAAAAUGGGAGAGAAGGAGAUCAAACUCUACCAUAAGCAAACCGACAAAAUACUGAGACCUAGGAGGUGAACAAAGACAGGGCAAAAGAUCUUUGCAGAAUAUGGAUGCCACAAAGAAAAGAUCAGAUUUUAAACAACUUUUCACAUAAACAUUCAAUUCCCAAUUUGCAAGAAGAACCUGUUAUGUCAUAUAUAUUAAUUUAUUUUGAAAACAGAAAACACUGACGAAACUUAUCUAAACCAAGAUACUUGAAAGCAAUGAUAUGGAAAUCCGAAAACUCCCUCCAUUCAAUUGUUGGAAAAUGCAAAAUGUACAAUUAAACAAAUGAUGAUUGCAAGCUAGAACUCCAAAAAAGGUAACACUUUCCCAAAUAUUUCAUUUUAUUUAAUUUUUCUUUAUCUUUUUCAACCCUCCCAUUCUUCCCCAUAAUAACAAGAGAUUCAAACUGCAAUAAUAAUUCUUUUGCAGCAAAUUUAACAGCUAGCAAUUGAAUGACAAAUUGACAAUUAUGUACAGUAAUAGUCAGAGAAAAUACUACUUGGCAUAAUUCAAUAUUCCUUUUCACGUAGUAGUUCAAUUUAAAUCAUAAAAGUAAAUUAAAUAUGGGUAAAAGAGAAAAGACCCAACACAUGAUAAAGCCUAAAAAAACACAAAUAAUUGAAAAAAAAAAAAAAAGAGAGUUAUGCUUAGCUGAAAAUAGAAUCUUUCUACACAGAGAAAGUCUAACAAAGAUCAUAGAAAAAAUAUUAAAAAAAUACUCAGGCUUUGCCAAUGUGGGGUUUCCAAAAUUAGCUACAAUUGCUCCAACUUUCUAAUUACAGUGUCACUAUAAAAACAGGAGAUAAAAUCAAUUAAAAAAAGACCCAUAUUUUACAGUAAAAAAAAGAAUUUUUAAGAUUGAAAAUAAAACUGGGCAUGAGGAAUUUUUACCUGGAAAAGGAAAAAAAAGGGGAGGGGAUUUGAUUAAAAACCCGAACUUUAAACCCCUUUUGACAACGUGUUUUUUUUUUUUUUUUAGUUUUGCUUUUCUCAGUUAAUUGCAUUUUUGUCUUUCUUCAAUCAGUUUAUGAUUCCCAAAAAUUGCCCAAUUGUGUUUUAGUGCAAAAAAUCAAAGGGAAACCCGAUUUCAGUCUUAAUAGACCCAGCCCAUGUAAGGCCUAUCAUAUUGUAUCAUAAAUAUGAUAAAUCAUUUUUAAAAUUAGUUAUAAAUAAUAUAUAUAAUAAUUUUUUUAAAAAAAAUAUUAUGCAUAUUCUCGGGAUUGAGUGAUUAAUGAAUAUAAAAAAAUAUAUAAUGAUUUUUCAAACUCCUAACAUAUUUUGUUUUCAAAAUAAAUUAUAUUUAAUACAUUAUCAAUAUAUAAAUAUUAUAUGGUAUAAGUGAAUCACAAAAUUAUAUUUUAUAAAAAAUUAAUAUUCUAAUUUUGAACUCACAAGGAUAAUGAGAGUAUGAGAUUUUUUUUAUUAGUAUUUUGUCUUUUCUUUGCUUUAUAUUUUAAGUCUUCCAUCAUGCAAAUGUUUAAGUCUUCUUGUCCCAUCAUUAUUACUACAUGAAAAGUAAUUUUCUUAACAAUUUGCUUAAGUCAAGUCUUUCCUUUAAAAAAGACAAAAAUGUAACAAUUCACUCAUUGAAAAUUAUCUUUUAUCUUCUAAUUAAAUUGGUAGAUUGAGAAUGGAUUUUUAAGUAUAUUAAUUAUUAUUAUUAUUAUAUUUUAGUGUUUUUAAUUGCUUAGAAUGAAGCAAUAGCUAAGAUUAUUAUUUUUGUGAAGUAAAGAUAAGGAGCAAAAAGACUUGACAUAUUUGCAUGCUUCAUGCCAAGACUAAGUAUAAAGCAAAGACUAAGACUUAUCUUUUUUUUUUUUGUUUUUUUUUUAAACUUUCCUUUAAUUUCUAUGAUAAACUCAUUAAAUUUUGAGUAAAUUACCCCACAAAUCUAUAUUUUUAUAUAAUAUUUUAUUUUUAUUCAUAACUUUAAAAUUUUUAAUUUUUGAAUCACAAUAAAUUAUUAUCUUUUAUAUGAAUAAUUUGUUAUUUGAUCAUGAUUUCUCUUAUCAUAUUAAUUAAUCAAGGUUUAGCCUAACGCAUAAAACUAAUAUAUACCAUACACUUAAAUCUCCAAUUAUUUAAAAAUAAUAAGAUGAAAGAAAAACUUUGAGGAUUUGAAAAUUGACUUUACUUUUUUUCAAGGUCUAUAAGCCAAUUGAGAUGACAUGGAAAGUUUGUAUUCUUUAUAUUUUUUUUUUCUUCAAACUUUUCAGCAAUAGUAAAGCACAAAUUUUCAAUUGGUUGAUUUUUAUUCUGUCAAUUUGUUGAUUAAGCAACUUGUUUCUUAUUCUUUUAUUCCUAAUGUACUACUAGAGUUCAUGGUAUGUGCAUCUUUUUUAUUUUUGUUAUUGUUAAUAUAUUUUAAAGAAAUCCUCUCAUUUAAAAUUUAAUGAGCCAACAAUUAUGUAGUCUAUUGAUAAAAUGUUAAACUCUUGGUUCCUAUAUUUUAAAAUUCAAAUUUUGACAAUCUCACGUACAAACAAAAAAAAAAAUAAUCUUCUAAUUUCAUAAAUUUCAUCUAUACGAGAUAAUUUUUAUAUAUUUUGAUAUCUUCACAUAUGAUUAAUAGAGUUUUUAAAUUUUAUAAACGGUAUUAGAAUAUUAACACAUAUCCUAAUUUUUUUAUAUAAUUUUUUAAUAUAUUUAUUAAAGGGUUUGUGACAACCUUGUUGACACUUAUAAUCUAAAAACUCUACUAACCGAGUGCAUUUUCUAAGCUAUAUGAUUCAACAUAUACUAAUCAAGUCAAUUACUAAUUUAAUUGUUUGAUAAAUUUGAAGACAAAAUGAAUGAAAAUUUUCAGGAAAUAAGGAAUAUGCUUUUAUUCCCAGAAACAAACCAGAUUAAAUAGAUGAAGGUGAAGAAUGAACUAUUUUGGGGCAAGAUAUCACUAGUAUCUGGAUUUCAUAAGCAUCAUAAGAUUAAGAAAAUCUGACAAGAACAACUUCACAUCAUGGUUAAAUUUCAAAGAAAAACCACUACCUUCUCAAUUUCAUUCUUUCUCUCUCUUCCCCAAAAUUACAAAUUAUCUGCAUCAGGUUGCAUAUUUACAUCAGAUGUUGGUAUAUAUCUCUCCGAAAAAAAAAAAGUAGAAUGAAAUCAACAAAUAAAACCAACCCUGAAACCUGAAAUAGGCUGUGAAGAAAAAAAACAAAAAAAGCCGCUAUAUUUCCUCCUCUAUGUUGUUUGACAGUGUUCCAUCUUCAAUGUCCAUCGUUAUUAACAUCAGCACCACCUCUGUAUUUCAUCCUCCAAAAUAGUAUUUGAGUUUAAAUAUUCCUGUACGAUCAAUCUUAUGCUCUGUUUUGGAAUAAUUGGUCGAGGAUCUUUAAAAAUAAUAAAAAAAAAAGUCUCUGAAAUUUGUAUCUGUAUGGGCUUUUGUAGAUCCCCAAAGGUUGUGUUUUAACUUAGGAUUACAUAUGUUACCAUGUAGGCUUGAACCCAUGUGUGUGCUUGUGUGUGUGUUAGUGAGUGCAAGGGAAACAAUAGUUUUGCUAAAAUAUUGAGCUUAGGACAUUGCUCUCUCCGUACAUAUGGCCCAUUAAAGCAUGUUGUUGUUCAACAAUACACGGUCUCUAGUCAGCUUUUUAAUUCGACCAUGUGAUUUUGAAUAUCAUUCCAUCUCUCCAAUCUAAAAAGGCUUUUAUAUUUCCACAGAGCUGUUUUUGGAGCUAUGCAAGCAGUAUGACCAGCCAAUAGGGUCUUUUUUUGCCCGUAAGUUUUCAAGGAUGUAUUAAUUUGGAUACUUAUAGUCAAGUUUGAUUUCCUUAAAAUUGAAGUUAACAGUUCAAGAAAUUUUUUCAUGCCUUUCUAAGCUAAUGUACUCAUUAGAAUUGUUCAAAAUUGUAAUUGACCGAUUCUGGGCCUGCAUUUGUGUCCAAUUUUAUAUGCUCAUAAUUGGAUUACGAGUAAGAAAGUUAUGCCUCGUUUUCAAUUUGUGCUCCUCUGAAAGGAAGAAACCUGUUGUCACCUGUUUGAUGAAAUAAUUUGCAAAAUGAAGAAACCUUUUAUACACAAUAUAUGUUGCAUCAUAUUAUUUAUUUUGGAUCCUUGGAUAAUGAUUUUGAGAAUAUAUUUAUUUCCUUUUGCAGAAUUUUUAUGAGUCCUGGGUGCAUGCUGAUCCACGUAAAGCAGGAGCUAUAAUGAUACAUACUAUGUUGGACUCUUCAAAUUAUAUUGAGGUGUCAUACUGCUCAUCAAGUAGCGCUGUUGAGAAGAGGAUACACUCAUUUCCUUGUAACUGGCGAUGUUUACCGUAGAUCUUCUAUAGAUUCUACUCAUUACCCUGUGUUUCAUCAUGUUUCAUUUUGUUGAAAAUCUCUUUAAUUUUGACUAGCUUUUAAAAAUUUUCUUCGCUUCAGAAAUUAUUCCAAGUACAUGUGAAUUUUGCAUUACAUGCUACAUGCGUAGCACAGCCAUCCAUAUGUUGGGCCUUACAAUGGGCUCCUUCGUAGGUUCACAUGAUGAACAGCUGUGAUUUGACAUGUAACAUUUGUUGUAAGAUGGCCAUGUUCAUAAAUUAAGGUUCCUUAUUUUUUUCCCUCUGAAACAUACGCCCUUUUACCAUACAGAUGGAAGGGGUCGUGUUUUACUCCAAAUAAUUGGGAGGCAUCAUCUGGUCUGGAUCCCACAUCAUUUGCAGCCUAGGACUUAAAGAAAAGUCUAGAGGGCCUGGCUUGUCACCUAUUUGGCAAUUUUUAGAGUCAAAGCUUUGUUGAGGGAUUACAAUUUUGCAAAUGGUCAUGCAUUUCUAUCCGAAUGAGAUAUAGGGAUUAAGAGAUCAUAUUGAGUCCAAUUUGUGAUUUACAUCUUGAAUGCACUAAUUGAUUUGGCAAGAAGUGGCAAUUAUUGUAACAAGAAAUCAUUACAGAUUUGCAAAUUUUUUUUGGGGAUACCUUGGAGAUAUAUGUACCAAUGUGCAAGACAUCCAGUCCUAUGUGCAAUAGUAAAACUUUUGGUAAAAUACAUCUAGGUUUUUGAGUUUUAAGCAUAAUUUAACUAGAUCUAUUAAUUUGAAAAAAAGACUUCUUGUCCCAAAACUUUUUAAUUAAUAAUACACUAAGAUCUUUCUAUUAGUUAGCUUAGUUAAAAGGCUCAUUAAAAGAUCAUUUUACAUUUAAAAAAUCAAUAUCUUAAAAGACUCACAUAAAAUAAUUAUUUAUAAUAUUAAAUUUUUUCUUAAAAUAUAUCAAUAUAUUAAUGAUAUAUAAAAAUUUAGGUGCAAAAUAUAAAAACAAAAUUCACAUAAUAAAUACAUUUUUUUCAUAAAAUAUUUUCUUCUUAAACAUUAUAAACAUUUUUCAUUUAUAAUUUUCAUGUUUUAUAUUCACUUAAAAAUCUUUUUAUUAUAAAACAUAUCAUCUAUAUUUAGAGAAUAUUUUAUAAAUUUAUUUUAUUAUAUUAUAUAUAUUUACAGCUGGAGCAUAUAUGAAAACUCAAAUUAAAAAACAUUUGUCAACCAAAUAUCUUAUUAUAUAUUACAGUUCUGUGAACAUUUUCUAUUUAUAAUAAUUUUCUUAUAAUCACUUAAAAUUUUUAUAUUAUGAACAAAUUUCAUAUUUAGAAUUUAUUAUAUAAAUAAUAUUAUGUGAUAUUUUAUUAUAUUACAUUCUCUUAUAGGAGCAAUAUAUGAAAACAAAAUUCACAAUUAUAAAUAACAUUUUUUUCAACCAAAUAUUUUUUCUUAUUAUAUGUUACAUGUUCUUGUUAUAACAAUUUUUUCUUAUUAUAAUUUUGAAUUUUAUUUUUAUAUAUUGCACCUUAAAAUUUUUAUAUAUUAUUAAUAUAUUUUAUAUAUUUUAAGAAAAAAUUAUUAUUAUAAAUAAUUAUUUUAUGUGAGUAUUUGCUUAUUAUAUAUAACAUUUUUUUCAACCAAAAUUUUUUUAUUAUAUGUUACAUGUUCUUAUUAUAACAUUUUUUCUUACUAUAAUUUUGAAUUUUGUUCUUAUAUAUUGCACCUAAAAUUAUUUUUAUAUAUUAUUAAUAAAUUAUUAUAUUUUAAGAAAAAAAUAUUAUUAAAAAUAAUUAUUUUAUGUGAGUAUUUGCUUAUUAUAUGUUAUAGUUUCUUAUUAUAACAUUUUUUCGUAUUAUAAUUGUGAAGUUUGUUUUUAUAUGUUGCACCUAAAAAUCUUAUAUAUAUAUAUAUUAUUAAUAUAUUUUAUAUAUUUUUUAAAAAUUUAUUAUUAUAAAUAAUUAUUUUAUAUGAAUAUUUAAGGAUAUUGAUUUUUUAAAGGUAAAAUAAUCUUUUAAUGAAUCUUUUAAUGGAAUUAACUGACUGAAAGAUCUUAGUGUCUUAUUAAUAAAAAAGCAGGAUGUCCAAUUUUCAAAUUAAUAGACCUGAGUUGAAUUAUACUUAAACUCAAGGAUCUAAAUGUAUUUUACGCAAAACUUUUUAUUGGGAGAAGUAUCUAACCAGCUGCUAUAAAUUCAUAUCACUUGUAAAAUUUUAUAAAGUUAAUCAUGAUGUGUUAGCAUCAGGGGUUGAUAAUGUACUUUGUAAGGACUGCUAUAUGUGGAAGCCAAUUAGCCUCAGUCUGUUAACAUUCCAGGUGCUGUGGAGAUGCGUUGGAUCAAUGCCUAUUUCCCAUUUACCAGUCCUUAUGAAGUUAGAAAUCUAUUUCAAGGUAUUCUCUUUAUCCUUUUUAGAGGAUAUUGUUAGUAUUUUCUUUAAGAUCGAGUUAUUCAGUCGGAAGAAUCUUGAUUCAUUUUUUUGCCUUUUUCCCUUGCUUUAUUGCAAUGCUUAUGGUCAUUUUGUCAAAAAAUUCUUUUAUGAUUAUUUGACAGCCAAAUUUAGGGGUGAACACUAUGCUUAUUAUUGUAAUGAUAAAUUCUAUUAAGAUAAAUCAAGAUUUGGACGUUUCUAAUACCUUACCUACAUGUUUGUACUCUGUGUUGUUAGCCCUUACUUUUAUUUUUAUUGAUUGCUGUUCAAUAUGAAUCUUUUUAAAUCAAUGGCUAUUGCAUGUGGUAACUUUAGCACGGAGCAUAACUUACCAGUGACCUACACAAUUGUCAGGAGAAAUGGAUGGAGGUUUUGGGUUGCAGGGUAAUGGAGCAAGAAAUAUUGAAAAGUCAUGGUAGAUUAAACAGUGUUGCUCGGGCCUUUGGACUUGGAUUGGAGCGGCAAGCAAUGGUUUGAUUUGACAUACCAGAUAUUCGUCUUUUUGGCUGAACUGAUGAGCAAUUUACCUCACAGGUAGCCUCUGAAUGUAGCUUCAUGAUUUGAAUGUUGAAGUUCACGGAUUCCUAAUUUAAUAUCUCCGCCCAAGUCUGAUUAAGCUACUUGACUGCAGUUUUCCAAAGGCCAAUUGGAGAAAAGUUUAAACCCUUUUCAAAGGUAUAAAUUAAGCAAAUGGUUUCUUUUGUUUCCACUGUAUAUUCCUUUUGUUAUUUAAUACCUAUUACAGAAACAUGACUUGACUCCUCCACAGUUUUUGCAGUAUUCUCCCUGUUAUAAAGACAUGAGUUUUUGGAUCAAUGAAUUAUUUAGUGAGAACAGUUCAUGUGAAGUUCUAAGAGGAAUAGCUGGGGAUCUUGUUGAAGAGGUAUGCAAUUUAAUAUUUUUAGCCAGAAAUAUCUUCUGAAGAUAUAAACAUGUUCACCUAUAUGGUAAAUUUGACUAACUGAAUGUUGUAUACAGUACGUGUUAUCAGUUAAUAAAUAUUAUAAUUGUCCAAAUGAUGGACAAGGUAUUGACCUAGAUGAGUUUAUUUGAUUGACUUCCUUUAUGUCGUCCUUUAUAAACAGCAAAACAGAAAUAAAUGUUAUUAGAUUUCUAGUUUUUGUUCUUAAUAUGACUUAUUUUUACCCCACAUAUGGGCUGUAUGAAACAAUUUAGGAGUAACCAGUGCAAAUGGAUAUGCAUGCUGAUUCAGCUCUUUUUAUAUAGAAAAAAAAAAAAAGAAAGAAAUUGUCAGCCAGCCAGUGUUGUGUCUCCAGAGACAGUUAAGAGGAAUUUGUUCACCUAAAAUUUAAUGAAAAUGACUAGGACUCUAACCUUUGGAUAUUGGUAAAAUAUUUUCUCUGAAUCUGUGAUAGCAAUUGUAACCAUUUAAGCUCACUUAAAUAUUGAAGGCAGGAGUGGACGGCUAGUUUGUUUCUUAAGGUGUCUUAUUGAUGUAGUAAGCAUAUUUUAAAUUCCACACAGAAAGAUACUUAUGCACCAUAUCAACAGGUUAAUAUUGUAAACCUUUGGAAGUUUUGUACAUGUUUAGCUUUAAUUAAACCGAGGAUUAUCAUCUUAAAUCUUUCAACAAUCAUAAUAUGAAGAAUUUGAGGGUCUUUGUUGAUAGGUCUGUUUGACAGAAAAUAUUUGUCUUGUGGCUACCAGGUGAGUUUGAUAGAUAACUUUACCAACAAGAAUGGAAUGAUAAGUCAUUGUUAUUGGAUUGCACAUUGCUCCAUGGAGCGCUCACUUGAGGUGCAGUUUGGGAAAUUGAGGGUCAGAGAUCAAAGACCGCCGUGGUUUGCAUUACACAUUUGAAUGUUUAAGAGAGAUUUGACUGGUAUCUUCAGCGGUCUAUUGAUUAAAAUAUCAUCUGGGAGUUGAGAGCCUGUCAAUUUGAUUAACUUUCUCUUCUUGAUCUUUGUUUACCCUUAAAGACAUUGCAGCGCAGAAAAUUGAAGCUUAUACCAAAUGCUGAAAUAAAGGAUGUCAAUGGGAUGGAUACAACAAUUUUUAUUCUCAUUUUUAAUUUUUUACAUUAUAUCUAUAUUAUAUAUAUUUUAAAUUUAUAUUCAUUUUUAUUUUUGUGGGGGAGUUAAUGGGUUGAACGGCCCAUAUUUACAACUUAAAAAACUAAAAAAUUUUUGUUAUUAUGUUCGAUAAAAAUUUAAAAUUAUAUUAUUUUCGUUUUUAUUUUAAAAUUUUAAAUAAAUAUUUUUAUUCUUAUUCAGAUAAAAAGAUUAGAUUUUUCAUCGAAUUUGAAUAAAAACAAAGUCAUCAGAAACGAAAAUUCUUUUAUUGAAGAAAUUUGGCAGUUUAGAAGGAGCAACUUUUUUGCGUUUUGGUCAAAGCUAGUUUGAAAGGACAACCAACACAAAAGUCCAAUUGGUGCAAAAGAUUAUUCCGAUGGGCAUUGCCAACAUGGGAAGGAAUUAUUCGCGUGUACUACACGUGCUUUUAAUUGCUGAGCCAGAAUAUUAUGUAGAGGACGUGUAAUUUUCAGGGUGAGGUGGCAUGCACGUAGGGCAUGCUUUGUCUACGUGUGCAAUUUGGACAAAAAAUUGACUGAUUUUCAAAACAAGUAAGAAGGCCGAAAAAGAAUCCGAAAGCCUGAUAAAAGAAUUUGGCGUUUUGGGUUCCUCCUUCACUCCUUCGUUCUUUAAUCCUUCAGUCGAUUCAUACCCAAUUCUUCAAUCCUUCAGUCGAUUCCUAUCCAAUUCCAAUUCUGAUUUCAAAAAAUCCCAAAUCCGAUGAUCGAAAGGAAUUAAUUGACGAAGGACGAUCUCUUCUUGUUGGGUAAUUUCAAUUCGGAUUAGUCAAUCGUGGGUAAAAGUUAAAUGUAUUGGGCGUUUUAGACUUCUUGUUCAGGUGAGUACUGUAAAUAUUUUGUUAUUUGGAUAAAAAAUUUAAUUCCUUCCUUUUCUUACAUCAAUAGAAAUUUAUGAUUUGGGUAAAAAAAUUUGAGCAUUUAGCCUUUCAUGAGAGAAUGCUUGAUCUUAUCUAUGGAAAUUUAAUUAUGACACCAAUUAGUGUGUUGAUCACGUUUGUUUCAUUACCUUAAUUAAUAGUAAUAAGGAUUUUCACUCACUUAGUUUAAAACCUUCUUUCAAGUGAUUGGAGCAACAGUCGUGAAUGAGAAUUGAAGUUCAUCUUGCUUGAGGCAAGGAAUCUAUAAACCUUUUCUCUUGUUUCUGUUAAGAUGACUGAUUCAAGCGAGCCCCAGUAGCCAGGAAAAGAACCUCAGCAAUCUGAAACAGAACCUCAACAAUCUGAGCAAGGUAAAAUUUGUUCCUUUUUUUUUAAUUCUUUUUAAAGGUGUAUAUGUAUAUUUACUUAUAUAGCUAACUCUUUGACUUUUCAGUCUGCAAUUUCUUUAGGAAGCCAACAAAGGGCAAAAAACCAUAAGGAAAAGGACAAUAAAUGAAUAUGAAGAUGAAGAUGAAGACUCCAGAAAUGGCACAUCUUUGUUUCACAAUCAGAAAAACGCUUUGAAGCCUGACUAUAAGUUAGUCUUUUCAACUGGAUCCUCCAGGAGUGCUACUCCCACUGAAUCAAAUACAGAAUCUGACAAACCGAUUUUUCAAUUUGAGUCUUCGAAGGAAAUUCAAGUUCAAAAUGAUAGCAGAGCUAUGGCAACCUUAGAAACUGAGACUGAGUUUACAAAAGAUGCUCGCGCGAUACGCGAGGAAGUUUUUAAACGAACAGAGGAGGCUUUGAAGGGGAAAAACACAAGCACUGGGGGAGAGAAGUUGUAUAAAGGAAUGCAUGGCUAUGUGGAUCAUAAGGCUGGGUUUCGAAGAGAGCAAACAGUUGCCAGUGAGAAAGCAGGUGGCUUACAUGGACCUCUUAGGGCUUUUGCCCACAUCAGGGUUUCAGCAAGAUUUGAUUAUCAGCCUGACAUCGGUAAAGACUACAAAGAAACUGGUUACUGUGGUUACGGAGAUUCAUGUAAGUUUAUGCAUGAUCGUGGAGAUUACAAGUCUGGAUGGCAGUUAGAGAAGGACCGGGAAGAAGCAGAGAAAGCAAGGAAGAGAAAUCUGGCUUUGGGUGGCGAUGAUGAUGAUGAUGAGGCAGGGGUAGACCAGAGUGAUGAUGACGAUGAUGAUUCGUUGCCCUCUGCAUGUUUUAGUUGCUGGCAACCUUUUGUGGAAGUGCAAGUACUACUUCUGCCAGCAUUGUGCUUUAAAGGUGCCCUCAAUGCCUUUUCACGUGGAUUAAUUUUUUUUAGUGUCUUUUUUGUGCUAGGUUAACAUCUAUUAGUUUUUGUUAUGUUUGUUGUUAAUGCAUCACUUAGAUGCAAAACUUUUUUGGUUACUUACAUACAAAGAAUAUUUUAUGUGGUCCAACUUUUUUCAGCUAUAGAAAUAGGACAUAUUUUAACUUUACAUCAUCAACUUUUGGUGCCUCAUGUCAGUAUAAUUUACAUUUUUAUUCUCAUUCGAAUGUAAACUAACCAACUGCAUCUUUUGGUUUUUCAGCAUCACACAAAGAACAACAAGUGCUUUAUGUGCAACCAACCCACCCUUGGCAUUUUCAAUACUGCUCAUGAGAUACGUAGAAAGAUGGCUGAAGAGGGUAACGAUAAGUCCAUUGAUGCUUUUUUUCAACUCCUGCGGCCAUUAAUAUUUUUAUUUCUUUGUUUUGCCAUUGUAGUGGAAAGAUUUACUUGUCUGCAUACCUUAUUGAACAAAAUGUAUUUCCGAGCUAGAUCUUGGGGGAAUUUUGGAUUAUGCAGUGAUGAGCUCUUUAAAAUCAUUGUUGCUGCUGGAAUGGUGUUUUUUUACCAAGUAUUUAGGUAAGUAUUGUUUCUGUGUCAUGCUGCCACUGCUGCCUUUUGCCCAUGAUGUAACAUUUCUACCUCGAGAUAGCAGUGCAAUGCAGUAUCAACUUUCCAAGAAUCAGCAUCCAACUUCACAACCUUCACAAUGGCCGAGAAUUCAUCUUGAUCAUAUCAAAAUCCAUGUCUAGAUGACACAUUCUGGUAGGGUCAUGAUCUAGGAAGGAUGUUACUUCACAGAGUUUAAGGCUGUAGGAUUGCUGAUAGUUUCAGUUGGGUAGGGACAGCUAAUAGAAGCUGUGAUUUUUUGUGCUGUCCAAGUCCAAAGCAUAGAAAGCUUUAAUGAACAGUUUUCUUCCUUGAAAAAACAGUUCCUGCAUUUAAGACAAAAAAAUUAUGAAAUCAGCUACCAAACCUAAACUUAAAUUCAAGAAAUUGUAAUCUUUGGCUCUUAACAGCUGAUGUAUACUCAUCAUAUUCUUAGUAUGACCUUUAGUUUCCCUUUUUACCCUCUAUAGUUGUUAGGGAAAAUUAAACACUAUCAAAGUUAGUUUGGAAUUGUCGAGCUUGAGACCUGGAACCAGAAGCUUUCUUCUAUUCCUUUUCAGUGUUUUUAUGGUGAUAUAGCAUCUUAGCUUGAUCUUGGUCUGUGUCGACAAUUAUUCUGUGUUAAUAGAUGCAAUUAACUUCUUGUUUUGGCAAUUAAAGUGGUAGGCCUAGUCAUUGUUGUACAUGCCAUGGCUGGUAUCAUCUUCUUGCACUGCAAAUAGUUGUGUUGAGUCAUUGAUUAUCCUGAUCUGCUGGUCGAAAGGCUUGCUUUGGUGCCUGAUACAAAUUUCUGUUCAAACUAGUGAUCUCUGUUACCCAAUACAAAUUUUCCAUGUCCCACCUUGGAUGGUUUUCACUUUCAAACACAGCUGUCAUUUUUGCUUCUGACUGGACAAAAAAUGUAGCCGAAACAUAGUUUUGUAAGAAACAGAUAAGCAGAACAAGCUUUUAGUCAGGAAGUCAUAUCCUUUUCUGAACUGUAUUCUGGCAAUCCAUGCUUUCUUUUCCUAGUAUCUUCUCAAAUCAUUGGCCUGACAAUUCAAACGAUGAAGUUACUCCAUUUUGUUAGAAACAAUCAAGUUUUUAUAUGCAUAAACUCAAUUUGACCAGGAAUAAGUGAUGAGAGUAAAGGGAAAAAAAUCAUAAGAAAAUUACUGGAUGCUCUUUUUCAUAACAAAGAUUUUACCACUACCUUUUCUAAAGAUAAAAUUAAAUCAAUUAAUCAAGUCCACAUAAUAAUUUAAGAAUGGCAUUCACAUAACUUUCAAGUUGUUAAAAGUUUCUUUGUGUUGCCCACAUGUUUUUGUUCAGUGAAGGUCUAUUCUAUAUGGAUAUCAAUCGUAUAGCAAUAGCAAUAGAGCUUGCAAAAAGCCAUUUGCUUUUGUCUGUGUGGGAGUCCAGAAGCAGAAAAACAAAGGAUGAUACGGGAUUAAAGUUAAGAAAAUAAUAAAGGAAAUAUUUAAAUCUCUCUCGCCAUAGUCAAAUCUAUAGUUAUUAGGGGCAAUGAAAUAGUAUCCUUUGGAAUUGUCGAGCUUUAUACCUGGAACUGGAAGCUUUGUUCUUUUUUUUUCUUUCUCUGUAGUGAUGUAGUAGCUAGUACAGGAAUAAAGCAUCUUAGCUUGAGCUUGGUCUGUAAAGAUUUUUCUGUGUUAGCAGAUGUAACUUCUAGUUUUGGCAGUUAAAGUAGUAGGCAUAGUCAUUUUUGUACAUGCCAUGGCUUGUAUCAGAUUCCUGCAAUGCAAAUAGUUGAGUUGAAUCAUUGAUUUCGUUAAUGUAAUUCUUGGUUGUUAAUGUAAUUCCUGGUCUGGUAGUCGGAAAGUCCUACUGGAGGUUGAGAGGAGAGUAUGUGUGACCUGUCACAGAAUAGAAAGUCAGGGGUGCCGAACAUGUUAUUUUGAGGCAUGCUUCGACGCACAAGUUAAGAUAGUAAGAUACACCAGAAGCAAGAAAAUGUAAAAGAGCAGGAAGUAGUUAAAGAGAGUAAAGAGGGUUGAGUAGUCAAUCACCUAACUCGUCUGAUUUUACUUUUUAUACCUCUUGGGUAAUAAUGUGGCAAACUGGGCUUUCAUGUGUAAAACCUAUUAUGUGAUUGCUGACAUGACCACUUAGAUAUAAUAAUACUGAAGAGCUUAAAAAAUAAUAAGAUUUUCCUUAAGAAAAUUUUUUGGAUAAAUGAUUUUUAUUAAUCCAAAAAAAGCAGUAGACCUGCUACAAAUAAACAGUAGGCUAUCAAGACCUUACAAACGUCAAAGAGCAACCUAAUAAAGUAAACUAAUUAAACUAAGCAACAUAGAGGAACCAGUCCCCAAUUCAGACACAUUUUUCUUUUGCUAAACCAGAAAUUAUUGAUAAAAACAGAGUUACACAAUAGGGUGAACAACAGGGGAACCCAAUAACUCAGCAGUAAAACACCACCCCAUAGACAGAACAGAAGACAAGCACAAUACAACCAGACAUACCGCCAAUCAUCUUAGGCGAGCAGAAGAGAAUGAACUGAUACACAAGUACAGUAACACCAAGCCAAAAACAUUCAGACACAAUUUCUGUUGUUGAAGAGGAAGAGUGGAACUCGAGACUGCAAUCUUGUUAUUGAACUAAGCUAAAAGGAACUUCUGAUAGUUGAAACAAUAGCUUCUAUAUCUUUGGAUGGCCUGCCAAACCCUUUGAUUGUGCUCCUGCCAAAUAAAAUAUAUAUGAGCAUCCCAAGCCAAUCUAAUUAAUUACAAUAGAUGCCAGAGCUUUGCUUUACUCUUAAGAUGGUUGACAGCCCAAUCUAACUCAAAGUACCAGUGACCCCCAAGUCUUAUACAAAUUAAUUACUUGGAAGCUAAUUUUCAUUUGUAAAAUGAGGUUAGGAAAUUCAAAAGACAUCCUAGUUUGCAGGCAAUUUUUGUUCUUAGUUUGAAAAGCAUUGCCAAGUUUCAAAAAGGGAAAGAGGCAUCAAAAGUUGAAACGUUCUUGAAUUAAAUUUUAAACACAAUCACUUUAGUAAAUUAUUAUUUAGUGCAGAUAAAAGACAAUAUAAGAGAGAAUUUAAAUAAUUUUAUUUGUUUAAGCUACAGUUCACAGAGUCAACAGCAAAACUUUUGAGUUAUUAAGUAUUAUAGAAUACUUACCAAAUGACAUUGAAACUUGAAUUUUGAUGGAGUCACCUAGAAGAUCUUCUCCAUUUUUUAUUCCGACUCUGUGUAAACCUAUCCAACCAUUUGUUCCCCAACUCAUUCAACACUGUAUAUCCAAUACAUAAUCCAAUGACCAAUCCACAUCCAUAACCCAUCAACACAAUUUUCCAAUCAGACAAACCAUCUACCCAUGAAUCUCCAUCUUCCUUAGGGGGUGGCAUUCCAGGACCAUCUUCAUUGCAUUUCCUUGUCAGAGGCAGCCCACAUAAUCUUGGAUUCCCUUCGUAAGAAUCGUUUGAAAAUGUACCAAAUUGGUAGCUUUGUGGUAUGCUUCCCUCAAGUUGGUUGUAAGAGAGAUUCAAUACUGCAAGAAAAGUUAGGCUUGUAAGCUGAAGAGGAAUCUUUCCGGAGAGUUUGUUCUGGGAGAGGUCCAACGACUCAAGCUCAGUUAAGUUUCCAAGUGCUAAAGGAAUUGGGCCAAGGAAGCUGUUGUAGGACAAGUUUAGCACUUUGAGUGACUUGAGCUUUUGUAUUUCUUCCGGUAUUCUCCCAUGGAAACUAUUAUUGGAAAGGUCAAGACAAGCAAAGAUGGUUAAGAUUUUCUUGUAAAAAAGUUCAAACCCUUUAUUCACAAUUGUCACAGAGUCCUGGUAGUAAUUAUCUCCAAUAUAAUCUGGCUUAGCUUGGUCGCCAACAAUCAUCAUCCUCAUUGCCUUCAAAGAUUGAAAAAAUUCAACAGGUAACUCACCUGAAAAGUUAUUGGAAGCAAGGUCCAGUAUGUGUAACUCUAGGAAAGCAUUUUCAUACUCAGAAAUUUUAAUCGGACCAUAAAAUCUAUUUGCUCUUAGUAUAAGAACCUUUAAAGAAAGCAAUUUCUCCAACCAAAAAGGAAAUGUGUCUUGUAUCAUAUUUUUUCCAACGUCCAAAACUUCGAGCUUUGUGCAAUGGGCUAAUGACCUCGGCAACUUCCCUUCCAGUUUAUUCCCAUCAAUUUUGAGUGACCUUAGUUGAGGGGCUUGAAAGAAUUCAAUUGGUAAUUGACCAGAAAAAUUAUUGAAAGCAAUGUCUAGUACAUCCAAGUCUUGAAAAUAAUUUUUCACAUGUUUAAUUGGACCAUAAAACCUAUUUGCUUGCAAUACAAGGACCAUCAAAGUAGGCAAUUUUCCCAACCACAAAGGGAAUGUGUCGUACAGAGCAUUGUUUCCAAGGUUUAAAACUCGAAGGAUUGUGCAAUUGGCUAAUGACCUUGGCAACUUCCCUUCCAAUUUAUUGUCAUUGAGUUGUAGCCAAUAUAAAUGGGUUGCUUUUGCAAAAUCUGGUAUGCUGCCGCUGAAAUUAUUUUUUUGUAGAUCCAAAGAGCUGAGAGAACUGAUAUUGCCCAAGCAACUUGGGAUUGGCCCGCUUAAUUUGUUAAAGGAUGCAUUAAAGGUCACAAGUUGACUCAAAUUGCAAAUAGGUCUUGAUAAAGAGCCUUGUGAAGAAGUUAGAGAUUGGUUUAGUGAAAAUUGGUCCAAAGAAGAGAGAGAAUUGUUAGAAAGAUCCAGAUACCGCAAACUUUUCUUCCACACCCAGUUUGGUACUGCACCACUUAUUUUGUUAUUUGAAAGGUCAAGAUCUUUUAAACUAGUUUGACUCUUUAAAAACUCUGGAAACAUACUUAGGUUACAGAAUCGUAAACGCAAGUAACUCAACAUUGGAAAAGAGGAGUUUGCAUCACCAAAAGGAACAUCUGUUGGAAAAUCAAUCGUAUUGAAAGAAAGGUCUAAACUCAAAAGAGUGGUCUUGCACAACCAAUUAGGCACAAAACCAUGGAUUUGGUUGUCAGGAAGAUAUAGAAAAGCCAACUUGUCUUGUGUUUUGAUGAAUUCUGGAAAUUCAGUAAGGUUGCAUGAGUGUAGAUACAGCAUCUCUAAUUGGGGAAAAGCAAGGCUUGUGAUGUUGCCUUCAAUUGAUAAAUUUAUAUUGGAAAGGUGAAGACGCCUUAAGUUCUUGAGUUGGAAGAACACGUCGAGCUUUACGGAACUAAAGCUAUUGAAGCCUAAAUACAAUACUUCAAUCAAUGAAGAAGAUGCAUUGGGGAUCUCACGAAUUUCACCAACCAAUUGAUUCUCUUCAAGAAGCAAUGUAUGCAAUGAUGGGAGAGUAAAUAACGAAGAAUGUAUUGAUCCAGAGAGGUGGUUCCCCCACAAAUAAAGAUAUCCAAGAUUUGGAACUCCAGAUCUAUGAAAUGGAGGGAUUAAACCACUGAAAUUAUUAUAUCCUAAAUUCAGUUCCACAAGGUUUGUGAGAUUUGCAAUUGAUGAUGGAAUUUGUCCAAAGAAAUUGCUAUACCAAAGAUUUAAAUUUGUCAAGAACUUGAGAUUACCAAUUGAUUCUGGUAGUUUUCCACUGAAAUUUGUAAAUGAAAUCGUUAAGAUCCGUAAAGCAUUGUUUGAUGGAAAUUCUGGCAACUGACCUCCAAGAGCGUAAUUAUUUGAAAUGUCAAUGCUUUCUAUUUUUGGCAACUUGAGAAUUUCUGUUGGAAAAUGCCCACUUAAAUUGCAAUUCACUAAACUGAGAGAAACCAAACGAGAGGAAAUUUCCAACAAAUUGGGAGGUAAAUAAGAGAUCGUGUUCCAAUCAAGGACAAGUUUGGAAAGAAAAGGAAGUCUUGAGAGUGAAGAACAAAAUGGACCUGUCAACCCACAAUUCGACAGACUUAACACAUGCAAGUUAGGAAGUAUUGUGGAUGUGAUCUCACACCAUUUACUACUUUGAGUUGAAAUGUUCACACCAUCCAAGUAGAGCUCUGUAAGAGGUCUCAAAUUUUGGAUUAAUGACUUGAAGUUUGGGUUUUUUAGUUUCAGAGGUUGUUGAAGGUAGUCAGGAAAAUCAACGUACCAGUCAAGAAUUUGGUAAUUGUGUAGAUAGCAAGAAUCUUGAUGAGAUAGAUCAAGAAAGACUAACCUUGUUAAGUACGAAAUCUCCACUGGAAUUUGGCCAUGGAAACAUGAGUUUGAAAGGUUGAGAUGAGUUAAAUUUGGGAAUUUAUCAAACUCAUAUUGAAACAGAGUAGUAUUAAAAUUGUUUCCAGCAAGAUUAAGGCGUUGAAGAUGAUGGAGAUUGAGAAUGGAGUGAAAGCUGCCAGAAAGGUUUUUGUAACUGAGAUCAAGUUCAAUCACAUGACCCAAAGCAUCACAUGUAAUUCCUUUCCAAGAGCAACAGUCAGUGUUGGGAUCCCAAAGCUCAAC